UUUUUUUUUUUUUUUUUUUGUUUUGGCUCGGGUGGUUUCGAUUAUUUAUGUUUUCUUUUAAGGCCUUCUGUUGGUGCGAUAUAUGUCCAAAUGAGCAAGAACGAAAGAGUAUCUAAUUCGGUAGGAAUAUAUGUCUAUGCAUACCCCCCGAUUGAUGUUUUAUUUUUAUUUUUAUAAUUCUUGUAUCUUCUGGGGGUUGCAAGGGAACGUUCGUUAACGCAUGAAAAAUGUAUUCAAUAUUUAUUAUACAUUGUCCUUUUUCAUGUUGUAUUACAUCAUAUCUGAUAGCCGUAUUACUCUUUUACUAUUACGACGUGACCAUAUAUAUUUUGACAAUAGUUGAUAACAAAUACAUACUGUAUGUUGCUGCUUUAUGUUGAGGAAAUGGGCCUGAUUGGGUCUCUCACUAAACCAACUCAAUGUCAAACUGGAUCAGAUCUGCGCUGUCAUAUUAUCGGGCCGUUGAGAUUAUGCAUGUGGUACCAAUUAGCUCGUUUGUUAUACCAUUAACAUCAUCACACAGUUUUCAUUGAAUUCAAUCAUAAACGAUACUAUUACUUUCUCGCGCUUUUUCUUGCGGAACAACAUUUUUAAUGGCCAGAGGAACAUCAUAGAACAUAACAGAUGAUAGAUCAUAUUACCAAAGAAAAUAACUUCAUUAACUGUGAAGUAAAUAAAGAAUCAAAUGCAUUUAAGAACAAAUCCACAAACCAAAAUCAAAACUCCUAUCAGUAAUCCAUUUCAACAAAGUGAAAAUUUACAGAAUCAGUAAGCUUCUCUGUCAAUGUUCAUGUUCCACGCCGCCACCCAGAAGCUUUUAAUUUCAUUCUCAGCUGGUUUUAGCUAUAUGAACAAAAAAAUGUUUGUGUCUAAAAGAGGAAGAAGCAUAAAUAAAAAGCUUUUCCAAAUCAUUUCACUUCAUUUGUUUGAGAAUUCCACCUAAAUUUUCAUACUUUUGUUCACAAUUGGAGAAAAAGACGAAAAGUUAAUAAUAAUACAAAUAGGAGAGGAGGAGUACAAAUAGGAGAGGAGGAGCAUCACUACUAUUUCAUUUUUUUCAGCCAAUCAGAAGGCUCUAUUUCAUACCCACUCGCACCAAUUCCUGUAGGCUAUAACCCCCAAAAUCGUGGCUAUUUGAUUCAACGCACUUAUUUCUGAAAAUCCCAUCGCGUGACUUUUUUUUUUUUUUUUAACUCAAAACCUUAUUUGAUUUCCAAUGUAAACCGAACCAAGAUUAAUCGUAAUUUCAAAACCAUGUCAACCGAACCAAAAUCAAUUGUAAAUAUAAAACCGACCAAAAUUAAUUGAUUCAUGUCACUCGAAGUUGCAUAACUUAAGAAAAAAAUAUGCAGAACAGAGAGAAAGAUACACUGCAUCUCGUUAUGCUCUGUGUUAACACAUAUAAAACCCAUUUCGAUCAAAAUCUUUUUUAACAGUUAUCAUCGCAUGGGAGCAAGUCAGUGUAGAGCUCUCCAUAGAAUCUAGUCACAAGAUACAAUAUAGGGCUAUUCAGUUUUUCUAUACAUAUAUAUUUUAUAGCUGUAUUCUAUAUAAGACCCUUUUAUGAUAUUUUACUUGCAUAAAAAAAAAAGAAGUACAUUACUAUUUUGUUCUACCUGAAGCUACUUAAAAAAAUUAAUAGUCUAGGUAAUGAUAUUCAAUUAUGAACAUAAAAAAAGUGAUUAAGAUCUCAAGCAAUCUAUAAAACCAUACAAAACACCUUACUUAUUUCUUCGUCGAAAUCACUUUGUUAAUUUGUGAUCAAAUGAUUCACAAAAAUCACCUAACUGGAGAUUUAUAGAGAUGAAAUGCAUUUCAGACUUUUUUAUUGGAGGUUUAUAAAGAUCCCACAAAUGAACAUGAACCGACCAAAAAAGUAUACCAUUUCAAACUUGGUGACAAAUUGUUGUAGAUGGAGAAUUUGUCGGCCAAGAAUGAUAUACUCAUAAAUCAUUGAUUGAGAGCAACAAGAAUGUAUGAAAGUGUUGUAUUAUAUCAAAAUCUAGAGUAGACUAAUUUGUUGUUUUGGUCUUACCCACUUUGUCUUGGUAAAGUAACUAAAGUAGAGACUUACUCAACUCUCUCUUCUUGUUGUUACCAAAGAAAAAAAAAACAAAACAAAGAUGUCUUUUGUCUGACUCCAUAAUCACACCAUCACCAAGAAGAAGAUCUAGGUCUCGCAUCUCCCUCUAUCUCUCUCAUUACAAUGGAACGAGCACGAACCGAAAGCCCUAGCUACUUCCGUCAAUGGAGCGGUGAGUCUGGCGCCACCAAUGCCGCCGUAGCUCCUUCUUCUCCGGCGCGUCAUCACCAUGCUCGAUCUUCUUCCGUCACUACUAUGUCUAACGUCAAACGAGCUCAAAACGUCGCUGCUAAAGCUGCUGCUCAGAGGCUUGCUAAGGUCAUGGCUUCACAGACCAACAAUGAUGAUGACGACGAUGAUGAUGAUGAAGUCGGUGGUGAUGAUCUAGGUUUCCGAUAUGGUGCUCCUCCUCCUCUCUCAUUCACUAGAAAUGCUUCUUCCACAGUUGCUAAACCUAAACCUUCUGCUUCUGCUGUCGUUCCUCCUCCCAAGAUCGCUAGAUCUUCCUCCCCUGCGGUAAAUUUGAAUCCUUUUUUGGCUUUAGUAGAAACCAAAUCCACUCAGUUUACCAAAUUUGAUUACUUUCAAUCAUAGAGAUUUAAGGGAAUUGGUUUUUAGUUUCUAAUUUUGGAAAAUGUGGGAUUUUGAUUGUAAGAUUUGGGAAUGUAGUAGUAAGGGAAAACUAUUUAUGGGAUGUUCUAAUCGGACAAACUGUUGGUGAUUGACUGAUUGUGAAUUUUUCUCAGUUAUCUCGGAACUCUCCAGCCGUAUCUGUUCGUGCAUCGCAACCGCCUGUCGUGCCGAGUAAACUGGCUCAAAGGAAUCAAACUGCCCAUUCAUUACCAGUUGUAACUCCUAAGAAUCAUCAGAGUGAAAAGAGGUGAGAAUUGAGUUCCCAAAAUAUAUCUUGGUCUUACAACUAGCUGAGUUUGUUGUAUUCAUGACUUGGAAUUGUUUGUCAUUGCAGGGUCUUAGCUGAUAUUGGUCAUCUUAAUGGAAAAGAUUCGAAAGACCAGCAUGAAGCAUCCGCGCUUCGUGAUGAAGUAUAUGCUAAUUCCUUUCUUUGUUUUCAUAUGUGUUAAUAUUUUUAUUUCCUAGAUGGAAACUGACAGUUACAUUACAUCACAGCUCGAUAUGCUGCAAGAGGAAAAUGAGAGUAUUCUUGAAAAGGUAGAAAGUCUUUUCUUUUAGGUUUCCAUCUAUUUCAGAGUAGUUUGAUUAUAUGUUUGAGCUUAUGAACAGCUUAGGCUUGAGGAUGAGAGAUGCAAGGAAGCGGAAGCUAGGGUGAGAGAGCUUGAAAAACAGGUAAUUUGGACCAAUUAUGUACUUGCUGUAUGCAUAACUUUUUGGUUUUUAAAUACUGUCUCACCUUUGACUCAAACUUUAGGUGACUUCUUUGGGGGAAGGUGUAUCCUUGGAAGCUAAACUUCUUAGCCGGUAGUCAAUAUCAAUACAAUUGGUUGCUAGGUUUUUCGUUUUUUCCUACUGGGUUGAAAUGCUUACACGAAUGUGUUUUGUUACAUGCUGCAGAAAAGAAGCUGCUUUGCGUCAAAGAGAGGUAUUCCAAAGUCUGAGGUUCCUCAAGUUUUAGUAUUAUGUGGUGAUUUUGUUUCCAAGUAUGAAGAUUUUGUUCUGGCUUUUUAGAUUCACCAAUUCUCACUCUAUGACAGGCGGCCCUUAAAGAGGCAAGGCAGAAUAGAGAAGGGACUAAUAAAGAGACUACUGCUCUUCGGUCUCAAGUUGAGGUAGGCCCUAUUUCCUGUCCAUGUGUCACAUGUUCUAUGAGUUGAAAAUAAGUCAAAGUAAAGAAAUCCUGUAUUUUCUGUAUUUCACUUUGAUUCAGAAUGCAAAACUUGAGACGGCUGCUAUAGUAGCACGAGUUCAAGGAGCAGAAUCUGAAGUCAACGCUCUACGGACGAUGACACAUAGAAUGAUAUUGACCCAAAAAGAGAUGGUUCGUGUUCAUGUUUUUGCGCAGUCUACAUAUAAGGUUAUGGUAGUGUUUAUGUAAGACACCCUUGUAUAAUUUCAGGAGGAAGUUGUUCUUAAGCGAUGCUGGCUUGCUCGAUAUUGGGGUUUAGCUACCAGAUAUGGUAGGGGGUAACAAGCUUAUCUGCUUAAUGACAUAACUAGAACUUUUAUGCCAUCAUGUAACUUUGCUUCUAGACAUCUGUGCAUAUUUGUAUUUCAGGCAUAUGUUCGGAUAUUGCUACAUCAAAAUAUGAAUACUGGUCAUCUCUGGCACCUCUUCCUUUUGAGAUUGUGCUGUCAGCUGGGCAGAAGGCUAAAGAAGAAAGUUGGGAAAAAGGCAAGCAAUCACUCAAUCAUGUUUCUAAGAUAUCUAUUGUGAUAACUUUCUAUAAUUUUGAUUCUCACUUCUCAUAUUCUUUCGUAUAUUUAUCUGUUGGCUAUGAAAAUAUCUGACCAGAUUCUGAGGAGAACGAGAAGAGGAGCCAGCUUGUUCAAGAUAUAAAUGAUCUAACAGGAGAGGGAAAUAUUGAAAGUAUGCUCUCUGUGGAAAUGGGUUUAAAAGAACUAACUUCUUUGAAGGUUUAUUCUCAUUAUCUCUCACUCUGGUUCAUGUGCCCUCUUUCAUUUUUCUCAUAGACUAUGUCUGUUCUUUUGAAGGUUGAAGUUGCCAUUACUAUUACAUUAGCCCAGCUAAGGUUGGCCAAUUCUACUCGACUGUCUGAUAUCGGUGAGCUUCUUCUUGAUGCCAAUAAUUUAUGUUGCUCUUGCAUUAGCUGAAAAAGGCGACUUUAGCCAGGCUUCUAAUUCCACUAUCGAGACUGUUAAGAUAAUAUUGUACAUGUUUUACCUAUGUUUUGUGUCGCAUUUUAAAUGCUAUGCUUCUUGGCAGUUGAUUUAUUUUCUGCUUGUCUUAUGUCAGAGUUAAAAUCACCAGGUGGUCCUAAGAUUAUGGAGGCACUUGGUAAGUUCAUUUAGCUACUUAUAUCGCUGAAUAUCUGGCUCAAAAUCUUGGUGUUAUGAAAUUAAAUAUAUCGUGUGAAUCAUAAUCCACCGAGUUAUAAUGACAAACCCUUGUUAUUCUUGAGGAUAAUUCAUAUAAGCAUGAAAAAUAUAACUUGAGUGUCAGUUUUUUAUGUUCACAUUUCAUAUACUGCCUCAACAAAGAGUGCAGACAAUACUUGUUAUUCUUGAGGAUAAUUCUGAAUUUGGUCUGUGGCCCUUUGCAGAAUUGACUCCAGAAGAGUCUGAGGAUGUUCUCUUCAAGGAGGUACACAACUAUAAGCCUUUUCUUGCUUUCUAUCAUUGGCUUUUCUUUCAUCUGAUCCUGCCCCUUUUGUACUGAAUUCUGUCGUUUAUGUAUAUUCUAUUGGAGACUCUUCUGGAGUCAAUCGUGGCCUUUCUACAUUCUCAACAUAAAUCCUUUGGAAUUUUUGGCAGGCUUGGCUCACGUACUUCUGGAGAAGAGCAGAAUCUGUUGGCAUAGAAGUGGACAUUGCGAGAGAACGUCUUAGAUUCUGGAUCGGCAGGAGCGCACACUCCCCAUCUUCACAUGACGCUAUUGAAGGUACAACCUAACAUACCAAAUUCCUUUCAGCCAGGAGAGGAGUACCCAUAAGACGAUUACUAAAUUGGUUUGUUCUAAUUUUCAGUUGAGCAAGGACUAACAGAGCUAAGAAAGCUGCGGAUAGAACGUAGAUUGUGGGAAGCCUCCAGGUCCAGCCAGUAAGUAGUGACCUUGGGAUCCCAGAGCAGUCAUGUUACCUCAGCUUUAACAGUACUGUAUAUCAUACAUGCUUUCUUCUGUGUGGUUCGAGUACUUUGCAGUCAGGAAAUGUUAAUCCAGUUUUGCAAACCUAAGUAUUGUAUUACACAUACUACUUUUGACAUAUAAUAUAUCCACGUUUUCACGCUCUUACCAUCAACUUGCAGACUCAUACUUGUUGGAUUAUCCAAAUGUAAAGUAUAUACUGAUACAGACACUAAAGACCACCAGUCACCAGUAAUCGUUACAAGAACACUUUCCCUCCUUGAAAUGGUGGAACCUUCUGGAAUCUCGGAUGACGAUUUCAUGUCCUGUAACCAAAGAUACAUGCUUUGUAAACUCAUGACAAUCUGGGCAUGCCCGAAGAUUCUUGAACACCUUAAUCGGUGUACGGGCAUUGCCAUUCACCGAUAUCAGCCCAAAUGCGAUGGCAAGUCUCUCGCUGUGAUCAAGAAGCUGCUCUCUUCUCUCUAUCAUACUACACUGAAACACAUCACCUUCCAUGAAACCGUCAAACUCCUUAAGCUUCUCAUAGAUCUCCCGAGUUUGUGGAUGGUGUUUAUCACCCACUAUAAAACGAUGAAUCUUACCUUUUUCUUGGAUCCAGCUGCAGCUCAGUUCCUUCUUUAACAUUUUCUCCUUCAUUAGUUUCAUCAUUUCAGCAGCUUCUUCCCAUUUUCCAGCCCAGGUAAAAAGAUUAAAUGGUAGCACAUAUCCAGCUGUAUCUUCUGGAUCCACUUGGCGAAGUUCCUCACCAGCAAUCUUGCCCAGUUCAAGAUUCUUAUGAGUCCAACAGCCACUUAGAAAGCAUUUCCAGCUCAUUGCAUCAGGUUCAAAAGGCAUAUUCUUCAUAAAUUUGAGAGCUUCGUCCAAUAGGCCUGCUCGGGCAUAAAUGUCGAUCAUACAAUCAUAAUGGUCGAUAGUCGGAGCCACAUUAUAUUUUCGAAGCAUUGUGUCCAAGUAAUGCUUUCCCUGUUCAACAAGGCCUGCAUGGCUGCAGGCGGUUAAAACUGCAAUAAAGGUAAUUGAGUUUGGCUUCAUACCACAACUCACCAUUUUCUCAAACAAUCUCAGAGCUUCAGAGGCAUUUCCAUAGUAAGCAUGACCUGAUAGGAAAGCCGUCCAAGCAACAAUGUCAGGGUUGUCCAUUGACUCAAAGACUUCAUGUGCAUCAUCUAAGCAUCCACAUUUCGAAUACAUCGUAAUAAGAGCGCUUUCUCCAUACUGAGAUCCAAUCAGACUUCUUUUUAUAGCAUCUGCAUGGACUUGGCCACCAAUGUUGCAAUCUGCAAGUACUGAACAUGCUUGGAAUAUGCUAGUAUAUGUGAACGAAUUUAGAACCGCUGCAUUUUUGCUUCUCAACGACUUGAAGGUUUUAACAGCCUCCUCAAAUUGACUCAUUUGGCAGUAUCCAGAAAUGAUUGCACUCCAGGUAACAUCAUUUGGCUCACUGAUUUCUUGGAAUGCGCAGCAAGCAGACUCGAAGCUGGAACAUUUGAUGUAAAAAUCGACGAGUGGAGUUCCAACCGAGACUUCAGAUUCCAGUCCAAGCUUAGCGACACAUGCAUGAAUUUGCUUGCCAAGUUUAAGCUCUUCAAGAGAAGCACAUGCUUUAAGAACAACUGAAAACACAAAACUGUCCCAUUCAACACCUUCGAUCACCAACUCCACAAAUAGUUUCAAAGCAUCUCUUGCUCUUCCAGCUUGAGUAUAACCUACCAUCAAUCCUGUCCAAGCCACUGGUUUCUUCUGCGCCAUCUGAUCGAAUACUCGCUUAGCACCCACUAACCAACCACAUUUUACGUACAUGUUUAAGAUCCCAAUCUCUAUAGAUGUGUUGUUACAUAACCCAGCACGCAUAACAUGAGCAUGAAUCUGUCUACCAACGUCUAAAGCCUCAGGAUUUAUCAAAGAUUUCAAGAGUGUAGUAUACAUGGAAGAAGGAGGCUCGUCGCCCGACGCUAGCAUUCCUGAGAACAAACCAACAGCUUUAUCUAAAAGACCUCGUUCGGCGUAAGCAGAUACCAUCGUAACUCUCGAGACUGCAUUCAAGUCAGGCAUUUCAUCGAACAGUUUAUCUGCAUCUUCCAAGCUCCCGCACUCACAGUACAUCUGUAACACACAGUUCUGAAGAAGCAGGGAAGGAUUCUCGAAAGCCAUCCGCAUGCGAUCGUGUAAGAGUCUCCCAUGAGAUAAAGACCUCAAAUUUCUGCAAGCCUCAAAGAGACACUGGUACGAGUACGGGCUAACGGAGACGCCAGCCUUAUCCAUUUCCUGGAAAAACGCAAAUGCUUCGUUAAGCUUCCCAUGUUUCGACAACGAAACCAAAUGAAGAUUCUCGACUUGGCCUUGCUUAUGCUCGAUUUUAAGGGAUGAAGAAGAAGUGCUCGAUUUCAGAGAAACCCACGACGGGAUUUGAUCGAAAUUCGAGUUCUUCAUAGCCGGAACUCGAGAUGGGAUAUACGAAGACUGUACAGUGAGAAUCGUCAUCGUUGAUUGAUAAAUUCACAAAAAAAUGUUUAUACUUUAUAGCUUUUCUUCGAGAACUCACAAACGAAAGAGAAGCUAAAAAAAUCUUACUUAGUAAUUGCAACAACCAAACGGGUCAAAUCAAUGGUUAGUUGCCAAAAACGACAGCGUUUGAUACAGGGACUGAAGGAGAGGGUUCAAAGUAGUUUUCCAUCUUUGGCGUCUCUCAUCAAUGACUGAAAUCGAGCCGUACGAUUUCUCUCCUCUUCUUGCUUUAAAAACCUAUCAAUAAUUUAUUCUUCUCGGCCUUCUUCUUCUCGUUCCUCCUCUUCUCCAAUGGCGGCUACUAGGGUUCGUUGUUGUCACAGCAAUGCACCCUUCACAAGAUUGCCGCUUACCCGCCACCGAAACUCGCCGACGCUACCGAUUUCUCCGAGUCGUGUCGAUUUCUCGGCGCUAAAGGGCUCAAAGAAAUUGUCAUUGCCCAUAGGGGAUGGCUCUUCCAUUAGAAGGGUUUCAGUUUCAGGCUGCAGAAACACUAUACGAGCUGUAUUGGAUGAGAAGAAGACAGACGCGAUAACGGAGGUAGAUGAGAAGGGUAUCACGUGCGUGAUGAAGUUUGGUGGAUCUUCGGUGGCAUCUGCAGAGAGAAUGAGGGAAGUUGCGGGUUUGAUUUUGACUUUUCCGGAAGAAAGUCCCGUCAUUGUUCUCUCUGCUAUGGGGAAAACUACCAACAAUCUUUUGCUUGUAAUGCUGAAAUGCUCUCCCUUUCUCUGUUUUUUAUUCAAAUGUUUCAAGUUUUUGAUUUGAACUUCUGAUUUUGUUGCUAGUGAAGGCGGGAGAGAAGGCUGUGAGUUGUGGUGUUUCUAAUGCAUCUGAGAUUGAGGAGUUGAGCAUUAUAAAGGACUUGCAUCUCAGGUUUUGGCUUUGUUGAAUAUUUGAUAACCUUAGAUCUCCUUUCCGUGCUUGCUGUUGGUUUUGGUUUUGAUCAAGAAUAUGUGUUUUUUUUUUGUGUUGUUUCAGGACAGUGAAAGAGCUCGACAUCGAACCCACUGAUAUCUUGUGUAAGUAUUAUACCUUCCAACACAUGUAGUUUCAUUCUUGCUAUUUUUGAGUUGGCUCAUUAAUGUUUGAUUUAUGAUGUGUUUGGUAAUAUUCACGAAUCUAUAUGCAUUGCUCUUUGUAAUUUUUGGAUACAUUUUGCAGCCUAUUUGGAAGAACUGGAGCAACUCCUGAAAGGCAUAGCCAUGAUGAAGGAGUUGACACUUCGAACCAGAGACUACCUAGUCUCUUUUGGAGAGUGCUUGUCUACAAGGAUUUUCGCUGCUUAUCUUAAUAAAAUCGGUGUCAAGGCACGCCAAGUAUGUCCAUUACCAUAUUUAAGUUCUAGUAUUUUUAAAAAAAUAAAUAUCUCAUUUGGUUGACUAAUUAGUUCAACUGAUAUCUUGGUAAAUUAACCUAGAAGUGCUGAAUCCAGAUUUCAGUUUGGGUUUAGUUUUGGUUUAGAAAAUAUGAUAACCAAGUUGAAAGUGUAUACUCUUUGAACUGGUCAGUGAAAUUUUGUAUUAGUUUGGUUUUUGUUGUCAAAGAACACAUAUUGGUGUAGUUUAUCUUUUGUUUGCUACACUUGCCUUGGUUUGAGUUUUCUUGCACAUGCAUUUUGGCGACUCUAGUUAACAUCUUGUUGAGAUGUUCAUAUAUCAUUAAUUACGUUGCAGUACGAUGCAUUUGAUAUUGGAUUCAUUACAACGGAUGAUUUCACAAAUGGGGAUAUACUGGAAGCAACUUAUCCAGCUGUUGCCAAGAGAUUAUAUGAAGAUUGGAUGCAUGAUCCUGCCAUUCCUAUUGUAACAGGUUUCCUUGGGAAGGUAUUUCUAACAGUUUAUAAUCUACUGAUAAUUAGGAUUUUCAUUUAUGCUUUCGUGGCUUGCCUCAUUAUUUCAUUCAAUAAUAGGGUUGGAAAACUGGUGCGGUUACUACCUUGGGUAGGGGUGGCAGUGAUUUGACGGCAACUACGAUUGGUAAAGCAUUGGGUUUGAAAGAGAUUCAGGUUCGUCUACAACCUAAAAAGAUUAAUUUUUCGUUUUAGACGUUGUGGAUAUCUCUGUUCAGUUUGGAUUUUUGUUUUCCAUUUCGCAGGUGUGGAAAGAUGUUGAUGGUGUUCUAACAUGUGACCCUACUAUCUAUAAAAGAGCUACACCAGUACCAUAUCUGACAUUCGACGAAGCAGCCGAGCUAGCUUAUUUUGGUGCACAGGUCCCACUCUACUUGUAUGCAAUAAUACUGAAUUCCAGUUAUUAGAACUAUCACAUGAAUAUUUUGUACAAUGGCAAUGCUUAAGUAAAGAAAUAAAAUUGUUGUUGCAGGUCUUGCACCCACAAUCAAUGAGACCAGCAAGAGAGGGUGAGAUUCCUGUAAGGGUUAAGAAUUCUUAUAACCCUAAAGCUCCUGGAACAAUCAUCACUAAAACAAGAGACAUGACUAAGGUAUAAGUGUCCUAAUUUGUGUUCUCUUUAUGCAGAUGUGAGAACCUUUAUAGAAAACCAAAAUUUAUACUUCUUCAUGUGACAGACAAUUUUAACGAGCAUUGUCCUGAAACGAAAUGUGACCAUGUUGGAUAUAGCAAGCACGCGAAUGCUUGGUCAGGUUGGCUUCCUUGCGAAGGUAAAACUGUACAUCUUAAUGUUUCAGAAGUGCAUUCUCGAGAACUCUUUUAUUGGGGCAAGGUCCGAACUGUGGUAUGCUCCAGGUUACUAUUUUAUAGGUUCUGUGGUAACCAAAAUAGCCUUUGUGUCUCCUUACUCUUUUAUCUAGGUAUUUUCGAUAUUUGAGGAACUCGGCAUUUCUGUUGAUGUUGUUGCCACUAGUGAAGUCAGUAUAUCUUUGACAUUGGACCCUUCAAAACUUUGGAGCAGGGAACUGAUUCAACAGGCAAGUUCUUGUAGAAUCCAUAACAUUUUAUUUUUCAAUUCAUAUAUGCAUGCUUUCAAGGCCUUUUUUCCUUAUCCUUGUAACAGGAGCUUGAUCAUGUAGUUGAAGAGCUGGAGAAAAUUGCAGUGGUGAAUCUUCUAAAAGGAAGGGCAAUCAUCUCUUUGAUCGGGAAUGUUCAACAUUCCUCCCUGAUUUUAGAGAGGGUUAGAUCAUGCCUCCUAGUUAUAUAACUUCAAGAUUCUAACAAAGAAAGAUAUAUUUCUUUUGGGUUCUUACUUAAUUGUUUUUAACUUUGGCAGGCGUUUCAUGUUCUAUAUACCAAAGGUGUCAAUGUCCAAAUGAUAUCACAAGGAGCAUCCAAGGUAAACACUGUUUAUCACCUAACUCUCUUUCCUUCCUCACGGACCUCACCUAACAAAUUUCUUUCUUGUUUUGAAAUCUUGUAGGUAAACAUUUCCUUUAUAGUAAAUGAUGCUGAAGCUGAAGGAUGUGUUCAGGCUCUUCACAAAUCCUUCUUUGAGAGCGGUGACCUCUCAGAGUUAUUGAUACAACCCAGACUUGGAAACGGGUCACCUGUUAGGACAAUGCAAGUAGAAAACUGACUUGACAAGCUCAUUGUUUGGUGUGCGUUGUUCUUUGUAUUUCUUCUGAGUGUAGUACGUAUGUUCAUCAAGAACUGCUUGUUGUCGUAUUUUUAGGCACGGGAACUGCUGGCUAUCAUCUUUCAUUUGUUGUAAGACCAAUUGUUUGGACCAUUUGCGGGAUCAAAGUUUAACUAGUAACUCAGAAGGAUAAAGAAAAAGAAAUAUAUUGAUGUAACUGCAGAUAUAUAGACUGGUGUCACAGAUAUGAUGGUACAAGACAUUAGACUAAAAGCUGUGCAGUUGUGUAAGCAUGUGGACAAGCUCAUCACUUGAAGGCCUGUCUGCCGGAAAGUCAGAAAGGCAGAUAAUGGUGAUUCUUAAAGCCAUUAACAUCUCAUCUUCUUCCACUUCCUCUCCAAGAAUGCUUUUGUCUAAUGCUUCUCGUGCUUCCCCGGAUUGCUGCAAAUGUUUUAGCCACUGUCCUAAGGUGCCUCCACUUGCAGCCUCUUCACAGAAGGGAUGGGUCGGGUCUCUUCCAGUUAAAAGAACUCCCAGUAUCAUGCCGAAGCUGAAUAUGUCGCUUUUGUCUGUGUAUCUGUCACAAGGAUUUUGCAUUACCGAGUUAGUAAAAGAGAAGAAUUAGUAGUAAACUCAAAUGGUGGUGGUAUUUAUAUUUGAAGCACCUGUUACUUUGAGAAGACUCAGGAGCAGAGUAGCAAGAUACGGCUGCGUGUGAACUAGGCAUGAUCUUGGCCAAUCCACAAUCAGCAAGGCGGGGCUCAAACUCAGAAUCCAACAUAACAUUUGUAGGUUUCAAGCUAUAAUGAAGAAUCUGUGUCUCACAACUGAAAUGAAGAUACUGAAGCCCUUUAACAAUUCCAACAGCAACUCGAAGCCUAAUCUCCCAUCCAAGCUCUACCUCUUUAGCUCUAACCUUAUCCAUGACAUCCUCAAGACUACCGUUGGGCAUGUAAUCAUAGACGAGAGACAACUCAUCGGAUUCGCGAACAUAAGCUCUUAAACUCAUAAGGUUCCUGUGUCUUAACCCAGCAAGAAGCUCAAGUUCCUUCUGCAACCUUCUCUUAACCGACUUGCUACUACUACUUUCUGGUGAACCAGUACCUUCAAGAGAGCCUAGCCUCUUGACGGCAACCACUAGACCAUUAUCAAGCACCAUCUUGUAGUAUUUACUGUUAGGGUCUGAACCAAGCAACUGAAUACCAUUACCAAGAGCUGCGUGAAGAGACUUAGGUGUGAUUUUAGGGGAAAACACCACAGGACCUUUGAGAAUUGGCGUCUGUCUCAUGUAAUUGACAAUGCAACGAACCAAGAAAGCUAACACCAAGGCUGAAACCAAGCCGGUUAAAAUCCCUGAGAGGAUGCUAAUAAUAAUGACCUUGGAAGUGAUUCUUGAUUCGAGUAGUGUAGACGAUGUUGAAGUUGUGGAUAAGUGUUUCACUGUUCUUCGACGACAACUUGAACUUGUAGCCGUUCUUGAAUUGAAGACUAAGAAGAAGAAGAAGAAGAAGAGUAAGAGCAGUGCAACAGUGUUUUUGCUUCUUUGCUCCAUUGUUGCGUCGCUAAUGAAUAAAAAGCAUUUGGGGGUUUUCAAGAUUAGACAACAAAUCUGAGAGAAGCCAGGAAAGUGAAGAAGCUGUUCAAAGCUUUACAUAGAAACCCAGAAAAAGUUUUUUUUUUAAAAGACUAAAAUAUUAAACAGUGAAGCUCUCCUAUCUAUCCUCUUCUUCCAAAACCACAUAUAUUCUCGAGGAAACCAAUGAGAAACAAACAAGACAAAAUGAGAAAAAUGGAAUUGAACUCAAAAAUCUUCACAGAGAAGAUGAAUUAGAAUAUCUCAUUGGCUCAAAGAUUCUUAUCUAAAAUUCUCUGUCUCUCUCUUUUGCCUUGUAAAAUAAAAAUAAAAAUUGAAAAUUUUAAGAAAGCUUAAUUAUUUUUUUAAAAACACAUUGUUCUUGAUAAGGGGGGGACACAAAAGCAUCAAACUUUGUAUAUGUAUGUCUGAAAAUAAACCCCAAAACUCAGUUGAGAACCCCAAAAACAAAAAAGAGCAGAGAACAGACUCCAAUGAGAGAUUUUUUUUUAAAAACACAAAUUAACUAUAUAUCUGCUUUUGAAAGAUGAAACAAACGAAAAAAAAACAAAACUAUCCAAAACUGUAUUGAGCUCAAUUAAUCCCAAGUUUAACGAAACAAAACACACAUAAACAUGAAACACACACUCUCUCUCUCUCUCUUCUACAACUCUCUUUUCAAGACACAGUAUCUGCGAGACUGUGACCCUCUCACUCACUCUCUCUCUCUCUCUCACUCUCAUCACAAAAAGCAUGACCGAAUCCGUUACUUACUGCCAAAAAAAACCCAAAAAAAAAAAGAAAAGAAAAAGAAAGGUUCCCGCCUUAGAGAGUGGAACCCGCAUUGUCAGGUGGUCGUGGUUAGAAUGGGUCCCGUCGACACGUACGCAGCUCCUCGGCUCUCGUUGCCUUUGCUUUCCAUCCAGUGGCCGAAAGCUAUACACAUCGAGGUCUGUGCUCUAUAUAGACUUGAGCUGAACCAACAACAACAAAAAAAGAUAAUAAUAUACGACACAUCUCACCCGUUGAUUUAUAAUACGUAAUGGAGAUCUUAACCGUUGGAUGCAUAUAUGAGAGAGGCUCGAGAAUUUGUGCUUUCUCUUAGCGUGUGAGAUUUUGUUUACUUACACACACACACACAAAAAAAAGGUGAUGUUCCCUUUGUUUGUCUGAGAAUAAUUGCUUUCUCUUCCCAAUCUUUCUUUGUUUUUAAAAAUUAUUUUUCCAUGUUAAAGGCAAAAGCUUUGUGCUGGGGGAGAGUCACCUUUUUAAUUCAAAGUUAGGUCUUCUUCUUUUCCCAUUUGAACCUCAUUUCUAUAUAAAUAUCUUUGGUGGUGAAAAAAACUUAACUAUUGCUUAAUUGCAAUGGUAACACUCUUAUCAAAAGACUCAAAAGUGUGUGAAUACAAUUUCGAAAUAAGUGGACCAUUGUGUACUCUCUCUUACGCCCAAGUUGACAAUCAACCUUUUUUUAACUGGCCUCAUUGACAUGAAUAAUGACACAUUUGGUUUUUGGACUAUAUAAUAUAUAAUAAGUUUUGUUUGUAUGAACAGAGAGAUUCAAAAACUAAACCAAACCACAAAUUUAAUAGAUCAGCUAAUGAAUAAUUUUAUGGUUACCACCUCCUCCAGAAGUGAACAAAACCGUCGGUACUUUUUUUGCUUACAACGAAUGACACCACAAACUUUGGAUGCCCUAUUGUCCCACAUACACACAACACGACACAACACAAUACACUAUCAUUUCCCAAUAUGCAUUGCAGCCUAUAUCCAUCGCUCACAAAUACAUUUAAAUACAUUACUUUCUUCACUUGGGGAUCUAAGCUUAAUCCACACCGACCGUUUAAGGCCUUUGUUGUUUAGUGUUGAUUGGCUCUUUAACCGUGGAAGCAACGAUGAAACAUAGCUCCGUAAGUUCUAUGCCCAUGAGUCUCUGUAUCUUUUCAUCAACACUGUCUGUGAUUGUAUCCGUUUGUGUCUGAGAGGAGUGCGAGGACUUCUGGAUCGGUAAAUUUGGACUCUGCAGCUAUAUCAAGAGGGGUUUUCCCUUCUACGCUCAUAGCUUCCGGGUUUGCCCCCCUGCAUAAUUCACCCAGUUUGUUGUGUUAAGACAUCAACCUUUUCUAAGGAUUUAGUGAGAGAAACUGUUAAGAGCUAUUUUGGACAAGUGGUACAAAGAAAAUCCAACUCACCUAGAGAGUAGCAAUCUUGCUAUUGCCGCUUUGCCUCUGAAAAUACAACAGUGCAGCGGAGUUUGACCACUUGAAUCUGAGGCAUUUACAUUUGCACCAUAUUGCAACAAAAGCUCUGCCAUCCCAAUGUCUGCCUUCUCACAAGCACAGUGAAGAAGAGAUGAACACCCACUUCCCUCGGGAGAUAUAUUUGAAGAACUACCUGACGUUCUAUCUAACAACUCAUUUCUUAACCUGAGUAGAACAUCUUCACGCUUCGGCCUUUCUGGUACUAAUAUUACUCUUGAAAGUGUUAACGAAGAGCUGGAAGAUGAUUGGUCAUACACAAAGUUCACAUCCGCGUCACCAUUUACAAUAAGCCGAUAAACAGCCUUUUUAUCAUUUCCACACACUGCGUCCCACAUUUGUUGUGCAAUUGAUUGCGGGAAAUCGCAGUCUCUCGAUCUCCGAACAAAUAGCUUCUCAGCAUACUGUGAAAUACAAAAAAAAGAUUUUGAAUGAGCUGCUCUGAACAUUGCCUAUGCCAAAUCAAAGAGAGAACACCGCAAAAGAAAAUAUUUUCUAGAUGUUCAAUAAAUUUUGAAGGAAAAACAUACUGUAAUAUAUGCACUGGCUCUAGAAGAAAAAAAUAUAGCUUCAGUUAUCUCAGACAUAUGGAAUCAAAUAAAGGGUAGAAGCUAAAACCUUAGCUUGUAUAUAUUUCUCCUUAAUAGAUAUCAUAUCACCAUAGCUGGGUUUUCCAGUGACCAUCACCCUGGAUUUAUCUGACCUGAGCAUAUUUAGUGAAGUAAUUUUAAUAAUUGUCAUGUCUAUGGGAUCAAAGCUAUCAUCACUUUGACUAAGAAGGCAAAAUCUCAAUCAUAAAUGGACUUUUUACCCCGUUAAGCCUGGGUCAACAUGGAAGGCGCUCCUUGAAUGUAGCAAUUCCUCCCAAACUGUGUUUGCGUAAGUAUUUCCAAGAGCUUGGAACAAACUUAUAACAGAUGGCUCCCAUACUUUCACAUCGAGGGUGAGUGACCUAACCUGUAGCAACAGCCAACUUCAGAUUGAUCUAGACUGAUGCCAAAAUGAAUGUCGAGUCAUCCAAAGUUCAAGUUCUGUCACAUGCUUUAACAAUCUGAAUUGCUUCUGAACAUCAAGCCUACUGUCACUUCAAAAUUCAGAUGGACUUCUUUACGUCCUUCCAUGAGUGGGUUGUUAUAAAGCCUACUUAUAUUUUGCAAGCAAUAAAGAGUUUUGAUGAUUUACCUUAGAUAUAUGCACACCGAGAUUACGGUGAACACCAGAACAUUCAAUACAGACAAGAACCCCCAGAUUUAAAGACGCCCAGUCUGGUUCUGGAGCUCCACAAUCCGCACAUUUGUCAUUCCCACAGACCUUUCGCAGAGCAUCAAUGGGCUUCUCACCCUUUCUAAUGGACCUCUGCGGCUGAAAAUUUCUUGAUUGCCUUUCAUGGUAUCCCAAAAAGCUCCUCUCACAUACAAAUUCUUCAUUUGUAGGAUGAUCAUAUUCAGAACUUUCAUAUGAGCUACUUUCACUAGCAGAUCGAUGGUGACCACUACCCAUGGGACUACCAGGAAGACGCUGAAAUGUAGCCGAAGGACAAUUCAUCAAAAUUGCAUUGAUAUUUACUAUGACCCUGGUCAUGCAAAGGAAUAAUGACAAUACUUACCUGUUCAGGGACCUGAGAACUAAGUAGUGAUGCAAUAACCCCAGUGAUCUUUUCUAUCCAAUCCAUUUGAUCGAGUGCACUCUCAGCCUGCACUGACAAACAUAAGUAAACACUGAGUGAAAACUAUUAAAAUUUGGGCAAACAUGCCAACAAUAGAAGCUGGAGGCAGUAACAAACACUCUGAGUCAAACCUGCAACGUGUAAUUUUUUGUAGGUGAAAUGAUCCUAAAGCAAAACCUCAGAUCUGACUGAUCAGCGUCGACUUUAAUUGUUGAGGUGAGUAAGUUCACUGUAUGACGAGCUACAGACUUCUCAUCAUGGACACCACCAUGUCCAUGACUAUUCGACGAAAGCCACCUACUAAGAAGUCCAGACCCAAGCUCAGAGCUAUUUCUCUGUCCAGAAAGCUGGCUACCAGACCCCUAAACAUCAAAUCAUCUAAGUCAGAGUGUGCAAAGAAUGGGUCAAAAAGAAAUUUAAUUUAUGAACACCACACAGUUUGCAUUAUUCUGCUCUUUUUUAAAACAAAUAAAAGAUAGAUAUAUACAAAACUCACAGAUGGUUUGCUACACUGUUUUCGGUAAUAAUACAGCAUUCCUCGGCUAUCAAGAACAAAAAACCGUCUUUUCCAGUCUCCUCUCAGAUUUGAAGAUCUUUUAGAGAGAUAACCUUGCCUUAUUGUUUGUACCUGAAAGUACCAAGAAAUGUUAAUAGUACUCUUUGGAAGAUGUCGAAUUCAUAUGUAAAGGACAUUGAUCAACCUUUCCCCUUGCAGCAGAUUGCAUUACAGCGUCUAUCAUUUUGUGAGAGCUUCGACCUAUGGCCUGUAUGCCAUCUCCAUUUGGUGAUCCAUUAGAACCAUUAGAACCAAUCCUGCUCUCUCGAUCAACCUGUCUUUUGUACUCCUGCAUCUUUUCAUUAAGUGCUGCUUGUUCAUAAUUUGAUCUUUCUCUGGAUUGUUGCGCAUAGGUCAAGACCUGCAAAAAAGGAGUGAAAGGUGUAAAAUAGUUUAUUUUUUAUUUAAAUUGCAACUGUCUCAGCGUUCUCAAUACGUAUGUGAAGACUCAUGCAUAGUCUUAAAACAGAUUUAAACUCCAAAUGUUUAGGGAUCUAUUACUUGAAGGGAAAAAAAAAAAAUUAGACCGACCUGAUUGAUAUAUGGUUCCAUCUGAUGCAGUAAUUCGUAACCCUGAAAGCAGCCACAUUCAGAUUUGAAACAAAUCAUUUUAGACUAUUUUAAAAUUCUUCUGAAUGAGCAUAACAUACUUACCUGUUUGAAGUACCGAAGAUGUGCAUCCAUCGUUCCGCUGACUGCUUCCAAAAAUUCAAACCUUUUCUUAGCCUCAACGUUUGAAAGAGCAGUCACCUGAUCAUAAAUUAGGGAAGUCAAUUAAAAAUGAUUACUUUAGCAAUAAUCAGGAUGUGACUGUACAAAUAUGACUUGCAAUUAAUAAUCGGAAUCCAACGACAGAAAUUUACAAGGUUGAACCGAGCUUGCUCAAACAUAGACCUCGAAGUGUGAAGUUCCUGUCAGUGUCAAAAUAUGUUAGUUAUAACAUAGGGAAACAAAAAAUACAUGGUACCCAAAAGCAUGCAACCAAACCUGUUCUAAAGCAGCAGCAACGUCACUUCUUGUACCUUUCCUCAAAGAUAAAAACUUCUCACGAGCCUAAAGCACAAUAGGAAGUUAAUUAGCUAAUCUCCAUAUAAGCUUGAACCAAUUUCUAACAAAACAGAUAUCAGUUAUCUUCCAAGCUACAAAUUUGAUUCCUAGUAACAGCUAAUGCUCAGAAAAGUAAUAGAAAUGAGAACUAGCUAGGUUUCUGUAGAUUUAGACACAGCUUGAAAUUGCAGCACACAUAUACGUAUUCCGCUUUGGAUAAUAAGAACCCUAGCCUCAUUCGAUUAACCAGAAAGGAUUCAGAAAUGGUAAUGAGCUCAACACAUUUGUUUGGUUGAAACUUUUUAAACAGAUAUUAUAUCUAGUCCGGAAAAAAGUUAGGAUAAGAAUUUUUGGUCUUUCCAAACUAUCCUUUGUAACCAUGUAAGCAGGGUGGAGAAAACAAAAACCCUUGACAAAGGAAUACCUGAUCAUAGGUAAGGCUAGCCUUGUCAAAGCGCUUCCGAGCUUCCUGUGGCAAAAAUGAUCUCUCAGGAUUCAUAUCCAAAUAUAAGCUUGUCAUGCUAUCUUACUUACUUAAAAAAAUGGAAGAAAGAUAUAUCUGGACUAGCCACAAUGUAUAGGCAGACUCAAAGAAACUUAACCACAUAUUUCGAAUUCAGUGGACCUUCUCUAUAGUGGUAACCUCAAAAUAUAUUUUGUUUGGGGAAGGUAGACGACCGGAGUGAUAAUUAUUCAGCCUUUUUAGAUUCCUAUUGCUGAAAUCCCAAAGUCAAACCAGAAGAAGAAAACCUAAGCCAUAUUAAAUUAAAUGCCUCCUGGCAUGCCUUCAUAGUUUCUCCACUCAUACAUGGCAGAAUGCAUGUCCUCCAUUGUUUCAUGGACAUUCUAGUAGGUAUUAAUGGCCAACAUAGAUUAACUUAAAAGAGAGAUCUAGCCAAGAAGAAAGUAAACAUAUUGUACCUUAACCUCAUGCAAAUCCAUAUUGGAAAACUGAAGUAAUCUGUCAUUGAGAAUAUGUUCCACCUGCAAAUGAGAAUUCGUCAAAAUUGAAACCUGAACUGAAACGACUUGAUCUAAAUUAACUCAAACAAUGUCUAAAGGUGAAUAAAUCUAUAUAGAGGCCGCUUUUGCUGCAAGAAAACAGAACUAUCUACGUAGAUACACAGAGGAGUAAUCAGAAAGAAGGCUGAGGAUGGGGAGACAUGGAGAGAGCGUCACAGUAACAAACUAGCAUACCUGUGACCGAAGAACUUCCUUAUAAGUCCCAAUUUCCCUCAGCGCAAUUGUAAAUUUCGUCAUUACGGGGCCUGGCACAUCAAGUUAGAGUUUAUCAGCACUUUUGAUGAAACUAUAUUUUUUCCAAUUCUUAACUGAGAUAUUUCUACCAUAACCGCGAAUCUAACAAUCCUAGCAAAGAGAGAGAUGGAGAGCCUCACUCUCUACAGUUUAAGCCACCAUAAAAAUGUGCGUAAAAAGUAACAAUAUUCAAACAUUUAUGAAUUCUAAAUUGAAAACAGCUUAAGAUGACAAGUAGGUGCAAACUGUAUGGUGAUAAACAGAAAAUAUGCUAUUGUGAGUUUCCAUAUACUAUAAGUGAGAUCAGUCAUACCUCCAAAAGCCACGCUUAUUGGAUCAUUAUGGCCGCCACCAAAUGUUUCAAGUGCACUUGCGAAAGCAAUGUCCCCAUCAUAUGCCUAGCCCUUCACUAUAACAAAAAAAAAAAAAAAAGAUAAUCUAACUCUGUUAAAAGAUAUGUUCUCAUGUUUCUUUCAGCUGGAAGAAGAGUACAGCUACAAUUCUAAGCAUAUGAGAAAAUUCGGGGCGUACGUGUAUUUCCGGCAUCCUUUGUAAAAUUUGAGACUUCUUUCCCGCAAUACUUCCGCACUCUCCUCCAUGCUUUGUAACUGUGUCAGAAAGAUAGAUUAAUGGAAGCACACAGCUGGAAGGAAAAGUACAUAAGGCAAAGAAAACAGCAAGACACAACCAUUUGUCAAAGAAACUGCAACUAUGGACAACCCAAAAAACUAAGUGAUAUAGGCACUCCAUAUAGCGGUGACAAAAAUUUAAACUAUAGGACAACAGAGCAGGAUUGGAGCUACACUAGAGAACUUCCUUUAUAAUAAUGUUGCAAAAAAAAUCUGCUCCUCCGCACUGAAAGAGUGAGCAUGAGAAUAACUAGCUAAGUGGAGACAAGUGUAUCCUAAAACACAAAGUAGCUUUGCCAGAGUCAGAGAUUCAAACAUGUGAACUGGAUCACAAGUCAAUUCACAUUUCACCAGCAAAACAAGGCAAAAGCGCGAAUAUAGGCAGUCCAGUCAAAUAAUAUUAAACCAAAUUUCUCAGUGACACAAUAAGUUGAACCUUUCCACUCUAAAAUUGGGGUAUAAGUGUCGGUGAACUCUAAAAAUUUGAGACAAUAAAACACCCAAAUGGCUCCAAAUUUGGUGUAUCUGUUUAUUCACAAGUAGUGAAGAAGAAAUCUGGCCAAAUAGCACACUAAAAGACUGGAGACAUGAGGACAAAUACACACAAAAUGUAGAGAGAAACCUGUUUGCGGAACAUGGGAGAGUCAUCAAGCUUGGUGAAAUGCAUAUUGAGCAAAUUCUAACUUCCUCUUCUUCGACACAGACAGCAAUUAACAUUACACGGACAAACAAACAAACAAAAUAAAAACAACCUAAAAGCAAAAGACCAUCACUGUUUUUUUUUUCUCACACAGACGCAAACAAGAGACAAAAAAAAAAACAAAAACAAAAGGAAGAAAAAACGUGAGAUCCUCUCUUCCCAAAGUUUUCCCGAAACCAAACCCCGAUGAUCUAACAAAGUCUCGAGCCUUGUGUGGUUUUUUGCUUCUCGCGAAAUCGAAAGUUGAAAAAAAAAAAAAAAAAAACAGUGGGGAGGGAUUUGUGAAUUUUGAGAUGAAGAAGUGUCUCGGGAGAAGAGAAAGCAAAGAGAGAAAGAAAAAAAACACUUCACCGUCUUUGUGAGUAAAAAAAUUUAACCACAAAAAAAGAAAAAAAGACGGCGAAACUGUGCCGCUUUAGUUACCGCCGGAGAUCGUGAAGGUUGGUAAGAUACGACGCCGUUCUGAACUGUAAAUUUUUUUAUAAAGAUGAGAGGACUCUCUGACUGUGCUUUUUUUGCUUUGGUCAGAGAGAGAGUGUGUGUGUGUGGUGGUCAUCUGAGAAAACAAGGACUCGUGCUUUACUCUACUCUUCCACGCGCUUUACUCGCGUCUUUAGUAAACUACGAUGCGCGUGUAACUAACGCGAGGCUCUCUUGAUGGGGUUUUAAAUAGAGAGGAGAAGUGUGGGACCCGUUUAUCUGGUUGCUUCUCCAUUACCUUUUGUUCCGGAGAGACAGAGAGGUCAGUGGGGUUUUUUUCACAUUUUUAUAUAUGAUUCCCUUUUUUCUUUUCUUUUUUUACAUUUUCUUUUUUAUUAGGAAUUUAAAAUUCUUAUUAGGGUGGAAAAAAAUUGCUAAAGCAAAAGGAAAAGGUAGAGAAUUUUGGAAAAUAUUGACACGAUGAUCUUACUUUUUUUUUUUAAGCAGACUUUACAGUCGCAUAUGAUAAUUAAAUAUAUAUUUUGUGUGUUUCAAAAAUGAAAGAAAAUCCCUAUUGUUUAAUUUAAAAAUGUAUCAUCUCCUCUUGUCCAGCUAGAACAAGAUUUCUUUAUUCAUAUCAUACCGAUCUAUAUAUUCUCUAACCAAGAUCGUGUUUAAGAUUUUGUUCAGUUUUAGUUUUCAAGUCUUGUUGUUAACUCCAGUUAAACUCCCCAUAUCUACUUGUUCAAUAAUAAAAUAUGACAAUGAGAAUUAUGUUUUCGACAUGUUUAUUUUUUUCUACUAGUUCUGAUUUUCUAUAUGAUCUGGGAUUGUGGUCUCUCUUCUAAUCAUAUAGUACUAUUAAGUCUAUUAUACAGUAUAUACUAGUAUAUUGUAUGUUUUCUCUCUCAAAUGAUUUCCAAACCUAAUGCUAUGAAUCUAGUAUCACUUUAGAUCUCUCUUUUCCCUUUUUAGCCUGUCGCCUCUUUCAUUUCCCCUUAAACCCUGGUACACCUCAGGUUAGUAAAAACAAUCUAUAGUGACUCAACUAGGCCACUAAUGGGCUGAACUGUAGGAAUUUUAGUUACGUAAGGCCCAAUUAAUAAAUUGCCCAUUUAAAUUUCCUUUAUUUUACUUAAAAGGAUCACACACGUCACGCGAGGCGGUGUGUUUUCUUUCUUUCUUCCUCCUCCUUCUUCCAUUUAUCGCCCCAAUCGAUUUUGUGUGUUUUUCCAAUUUCUAAUUUCCUACUCUUUCCCAAUGGCGUCGUCUGGAUCAGCCAAUGAGGAUUUCCAAUCCCGCGUUGCGAAGAUCUUCGGGUCUCUCGCCUUCUCUCGUCCCUCUUCCUCUUCCUCUUCUUCUUCCAAGUUUUCUACGACUUCUGCUCCGGCGGCGUCGCGGCAGCUUCCCGGGUCGGUGUGGACUCUCUCCGACACAGAAGUUGAGAAACGGGAGUGGAAUCGAGAUUCGUACGAUAGGGAUGAGAUUCCUUGUGCGUCAUCGUUCGACGCGAUUUUGAGACAGCAGAGGAUCUCCCCUAGCACUGCAGAGGAUGAUCUUAAGGAUAUUGAUGGCGCCGAGGAUUUUGAUGAUGUCUGGAGCAUUAGAGCGUCCAUGGGACUUGACCGCACUCUCGAUGACGAGGUAAAUCAAUUUGGUUCUCUGAAUGCUUGUUUCUCAUCUGAGUCUGAAAAAUGGAAGAGAAUUGAUUUGUUACUGUAAGAACAUAUUGGUGUGUGAUUCAGGGAGUUUCUGUACGUGAGUCUUCAAUCUAAUAAUUAUCUUCGAGAUUCUGGAAUUUGAAUUUUACUUGUUAACAAUAUUUGGCGUUGUUUCUAGUAUAUGCUGUAUUUGUCGCUUUCUUUGAUACUGAGGGUUGUUUAUGCUUCUUUACGCAGGCAGAGGAAGACGAGUAUGAUAAAGUCGCACUAGGGACAGAGAAUGACGUUGAAGACUUGUCUCUAAAAGAUUCUCUUUCGAAAUUGUCUGGCGGACGGACUCGGGAUCCUCGUGCUAACUAUGUUGCUGCGAAAAUGAGGCUGAAGGAAGACGAAAUGGAGGCCAACAAACUUAAAGCUUGUGCCAAUCAACCCUCGAAAAGCAAAGAGUCACACGUAGAAGAAUCAUCCAAAGCUGUGCCACCGAAACCUAUUCUCAAAAGAAAGGAGACUAGUUCAGAUUCAGAAGCAAGGACAAGUAAGCGAGUCAGGUUUGAUUCUCUCUUGGAAGAAACAGUAAAGAAGCCUGAAGAUGCUUGUUCGGCUUCUACCUCUUCAAAAAGCAUAUCUCAUCAGAGUAAAACUGGUGCUCGGGUACCGGAUUACUUGCUAAAUCCUUCGAAGUACACCCGUUACACCUUUGACCCAUCUUGUGAAUUGAUUGAUAAGUCCCCAACAGGAGAGUACAUGGACAUUCCCAAGGCUGUAGAAGGAUCAACAGAUUCAGAAUCAUUCAAGAAAGUUUCCUUCAUUCCACAGAAGAAGACCAAGGACGUAAGAGAAGACAGUAGUAACUGUAGUGAGACAAAGCCUAUUGUAGCUGGAGAGUUAGCAGAAGCUGAGAAACCAAGUGCAACAGAAGAUGGGGUUACUGAAAUAGGAGACUUAGAGAGCUCCACCAGUUUCCAAAGGAAUGGCCGUCAAUACCGUGCCAAGCAAAGUGUAGAUGAAACAGUUGUCUGAACAAUUCGGUUGAAAACACUACGCGGAGAUGAAGUUGGUGUCCAUGAGAUACAAACAUGUAGCAUCUUUUAGCAGCACAUGUAAGAUAUUUUUUAAUUCCUAGACUUCUUUAGCAAACUUAUGGUAACAUAGUAAGAAACAGUUUGCCUUCGAGACUGUUUAAUAGAGACUUAAGCUACCUUAACUUCCUGCUGGAAGCUAUCUUGAUAGAUCGCCAGAGAUGUUGCCACAAGUUUGGUUUCAACACUAGUGAACCGUUUUUGGGAAGAUUCCAGGGUUAAAGAAAGACAUCCUUGUGAGCACGAGGACUGCAAUCUACUUGUGGAUGAGAGAUUGCUUUCAUAGAGAGAGCCUCCUUUUGAUGACACAGGGAAAAUAAAGACAUGUAAAAAUAUACUUGGAAUAUGGAACUAAUGAGCAGGUAGAAGUCUAUUGAUGCUGAGAGAGAAGGUUGCCUCUCUUUUUUUGUUUACUUUUGAUUCAGUUCAACAAGUUUAAGAUAGAAAAAAAACAUGGGUUCCAUUUGUUUGCUUCAAUGAUUUUGCAUGAAACAAAGCUAUCGUUAGAUGAGCAUAGCUUAGUGUUCCUUGAGUUCAGGAUUCUGUUCUGACGGGGUUUCAGCUAAUGGUUUGAUCAAAAAGACCACUCGGUGUUGCAGUGUUUGCAAAUCAGAAGACAGUCUGGUCUGAAUAUUCAUAGUUUGGUUUUAAAUGAGAUGCAUAGAUUUUUGUAUCAAUGGGAGGGACGGAUACAAUAAUAAUACCAUUGUUGAGCCUUAAAACGACUUUUAUAAGAUAUUAUUUCGUUAAUAUGUUGAACAUGACUCAACACCAACCACAUAAUGUGUAUCAUUUUGUGUAACUUGCUUAAAAGGAUCAAUUCAUAGAUAUCUCCUUUAACCAUGGCCUCUUGGUUUCUGCGUACGGAUGCAUUUAUAAGAUGAUGAUUUAGCUAAUUUUACAUUAUUUACGAAAGAUACGUGUGUUUUGGAAGGACACACCUAAGAUGCCACAAGACACCAAAAAAACCCCACUUGGGUGUGCAUAUAAGAAAGAGUCAGAAGAUGGAGACGACUUGAGUUUAGUUUGUUUUGCUACUAAUAAAUAAAGAAAUUGCUUUCAACGCUAAGGUUUACUUGGAAUUUUCUCUAUUUUUCCAGAAAAUUUCUGGGCAAUAUCCCUCAACGGCCCACACACACACUUCAUAUGUUCUAUUAAAAUCAAAGUCCUGGUUAGAAAGAAGUGGAAGGUCAACCAACCCCAACCCGUUAUGUUUUGUCUUGAUCCGUUCAGAAAUUUCAGUAAAGAAAGAAGAAUACAUAAAGUAAAUAAAAUGUAGUAGGGGUUGGUGGACAUAUUAUAAAAUUAAAUGUCACAUGGAGAAUACCCAUAAGAAGAAUAAGAUAAAGAACGGAAGAGAUUACAAGAAAAUAGUUUUGGUUUUUUCCUUUUACGGCAAUUGCAUUAGUUUAAGAUGAGUUAACAAUGUUUGGUUUGGUUGAAGAAAAAGACACAUACUGUAUCUAUGUAUAUAGUACCGUUGGGUAAGAUAAGACAACGAUUGGAGCUUACACGAGAACCAUAUAAUAACAAACAUCAGUCACACACCACUGGUCCGGACUGUCUGUGCUAUUUAUUGUGUUUAUUGAUCUGUGUUUGUUUGUUUUGGUUUUUUUGUUUUAAUACAAUCUUCACAAUAUAUAUUUCCCAUACAAAAUGAGUCCACUGUCACUGAGUGGAUCCAAUCUGGAGAAGAUACUAGACUCUGUUGCAGAGGUGAGUUUUAAAGUCUCUUUCUGUUCAAUUUCCUAGUCGUUCCUGCUUAUCGUCUAUUUGCUUAUCUAUUGCAUUGCAUCAACGAAAGAUAUAAACUAUGCUUUUUCCAAAAUAUAUAUAUAUACUUUGUUACAUAUUUGAAACGAGUUCGUUGUUUUAUAUAAGAUGAUGAUAUUGAAACUUCGUCUGCAAGUUCAAGACUCUUGAUCACGACUCACACAAGUAGUCACAACUAAAUGAAUAUAGUUUUAUAUUGACUCUCUCUGUGUAGAGUCUUUUUGUGGUCUGGUCGUUGUUUAUGAAUUCUAUUUUUCUUGCGCAAAAAUUUUUUUUAUAAUUUCUUUGUGUGUUUCUCCUUCAUUUCCUUGCCUUUUCCUGACUUCAUUGAAACAGAUACCAACAAAAGAAAAAGAAAAUAAAAAUGAUAGUUGCAAAUUUUCUUGAAUAUAGUCGACGACAUGGUACAUUUACCACCAUGUUGCAUAAUUCGUCAAAUGUUAUACUAUUAAACUAUAUUACCACCCAUAUAAUUAUUACAAUUUUAUCAUAAUUUUGCAUGAUCUAUUAAAAAUUGAGUACUAAAUUUAUAUUAAAAAACUAAAAAGUAAAACAAUAAAAUCAAACCAAACUAGACAUAUCAUAAAGUCUUUGGGAAUCCAUGAAAAUAUACAUUUUCCACAAAACGAAAAUUUCCAUGAAUAUUAGUUAAAACAAAACGAUUUCAUCUCAGAUGCCUAUGUAAAUUACUCCUCUCAUAUAUAAAACAUGCCAACUCGUUGGAAUACAAAGAUUAACAAAAAAAAAAAGAAGAAGCAUUUUGUGACAGCAUCACACACGCUAAGGUCAGAAUGGUAUAACAAAUUGUGUUACUCGGUCGAGACUUUUCUACAGUUUGUACUUAAUAAUAUCAUUUAAAAACAUUGACCGAGACUCACGAACUGCCAAAUCCAUUUUAUUUAUAAGUAUUUUCUCUUGCUAUUUAUAGUAGAACCAAGUGUCCAACUCUCUGAUCCCAUAUCAUCAACUAGAGAGAACUAAAUAUGAAGCCAAUCUUCAACACCAACGAAGAAUUUGAGACGGGGCUGAAGAAUUUAACUUCAAAUGUGAAGCAAAUACAAGACAACUUGUUGGAGGAGAUAAUCACUCCCAACACAAAUACAGAGUAUCUCCAACGUUUUCUCACCGAGAGGUUCGACAAAGAGCUCUUCAAGAAAAAUGUGCCGAUCGUGACCUAUGAAGAUAUUAAGCCUUAUAUCGACCGUAUCGUUAAUGGAGAGUCAUCCGAUAUCAUUUCCGCCCGACCCAUCACCGGUUUCUUGCUAAGGUACAUAAGAAAUUUUCUAUAUAUAGUUUUUAUUUAUUUUUAAUUUUAAACCAUAUACAUGUUCUUAAUUAGACGAGUGUUGUUCUGUAGUUCGGGAACUUCUGGAGGAGCACAAAAGAUGAUGCCAUGGAACAACAAGUACUUGGACAAUUUGACAUUUAUCUACGAUCUUCGUAGUCAAGUUAUAACCAAGUAAGUGUAACAUGUUUUCCUUAUAAACGAUUUUAUUUUGGAUCAGACCAUUGAUGGACAAAUCUCUUCUUGUUUUGUUUAGGCAUGUGAAAGGUGUGGAGGAAGGUAAAGGGAUGAUGUUUCUCUUCACUAAACAAGAAAUAAUGACUCCUUCUGGCUUGCCUGCUCGAGUCGCAACCAGCAGCUAUUUUAAGAGCGACUACUUCAAGAACCGGCCAUCUAACUGGUACUACUCGUUCACGAGCCCUGAUGAAGUCAUCCUAUGCCCUAACAACACCGAAAGUCUAUACUGCCAUUUGCUCUGUGGCUUAGUCCAAAGAGACGAGGUUGUGAGGAUGGGUUCCAUCUUUGCUUCAGUCAUGGUCCGAGCGAUCAAGGUUCUUGAGAAUUCUUGGGAGGAGUUGUGUUCAAACAUCCGAUCAGGUCAUCUCAGCAGCUGGGUCACAGACUUGGGUUGUCAAAGCUCUGUGUCUUUGGUCCUUGGAGGACCACGUCCUGAAUUAGCAGACACAAUCGAAGAAAUCUGCAGCCAGUCUUGGCAAGGUAUAGUCAAAAGACUAUGGCCAAACACCAAAUUUAUUGAAACCGUUGUUACAGGUUCAAUGGGACAGUACGUUCCCAUGUUGAACUACUAUUGUGACGACUUGCCUCUCGUUUCAACAACCUACGGUUCUUCAGAGACCACAUUCGGGAUCAAUCUAGAUCCUCUGUGCAAACCUGAAGAUGUGUCUUACGCUUUCAUGCCAAACAUGUCUUACUUUGAGUUCAUACCUAUGGAUGGAGACACCAACGAUGUAGUCGACCUUCAAGAUGUGAAACUUGGGUGCAGUUAUGAACCCGUGGUCACAAAUUUCGCUGGUGAGCUAAAUAAAUCGACCGUGAAUUCAAUAAAAUGCAUUAUUUAUUAUUCUUUUCAUUUUUUUAACUAAUGUUAGUGAAUAUGUGAUUUUUUUGGUUCAGGCUUGUAUAGGAUGAGAGUGGGAGAUAUUGUAUUGGUGACUGGCUUCUACAACAACGCGCCUCAGUUUAAGUUUGUAAGAAGAGAGAACGUGGUCUUAAGCAUCGAUUCCGAUAAAACUAACGAAGAAGAUCUGUUUAAGGCUGUGAGUCAAGCAAAGCUCGUACUCGAGUCAUCAGGUCUCAUUCUAGAAGACUUCACCAGUUAUGCUGACACCUCAACAUUUCCUGGUCACUACGUGGUUUACUUGGAAGUAAAAGCCAAAGAGGGGGAGGAGGAUAAGAACAAGACACACCUUGAGCUCGAUGAAGAAGCGCUCUCCAAGUGUUGUGUGGUAAUGGAGGAGUCGCUUGAUAAUGUUUACAAGAGAUGUCGAUUCAGAGACGGAUCGGUUGGGCCUCUGGAGAUAAGAGUGGUGCGUCAAGGAACGUUUGAAUCUCUAAUGGACUUCUUCAUCUCACAAGGUGCUUCCACCGGUCAAUACAAAACUCCCAGAUGCAUUAAGUCAGGGAAAGCCUUAGAAGUAUUGGAGACAUGUGUGGUAGCCAAAUUCUUCAGUACUUGAUUGUUCUUCCUUGGAUUAAUAUAUAUAUUGAUUCAAGUGAUUUGUUGUGGUUUCAAUAAACUAAAUGUGUACUAGUUUGUCUGAAUGUGUAUAAUUUCUAAUAUAUAUUGAUCAAGUCUUUUGUACUAGUUCAUUGUUGUCUGCAAAAUGGAACACAACAAUGAGAAUUUCCAGGUCUUUACUCAGAAACAGAGCAUUUUAUUAAAUCAGGACCGAAUUUGGAAAUGUUUUAUAUGGACAAAACUUUGAGAUGAAACCAAACCGUUCUUUAAAUCUUUACACUUCACCACUAUGAGCCAUGAUGAGUCCAUGCCUACCAAAAUAACGAGGGGACAAUCCGGUUUUGUUUUGUUGCGGUUCAUUUUAUGAUUAUCGCUUUCAUAGAAACGAAAACCAAUUAAACCGUUUGUAAUUUGGUUUUCUUAUUGGUUAGUUUGAUGCAAUUUGGUUUGGUUAUUCUGAUUCCGGUUUAGUUUGAUUUAUGUAAUAUGACAUGUUAACUAAUGUUUUAUUUUAUAUAUAACAUGUUUAACAUAUGAUCAUCUAUAAUCAAAUAUUGGAUUAUUCAGUUCGGUUAGGUUCAUCAGUUACACAUUAAAUCAGUUUUGUUGAUUUCGGUUUGGUUUUCAUCUAUAUAUUAGUGGAUUAAAUUGGUUCGUUUAUUUAUUUAUAUUCACUCCAUCCAACUAGUAAUGAAGUAUUAGUGAAGUUAUUAGCAAGGACAAAUGCACAACAUCUUGGAUCAGUAUCUAAACGGGGUAUGAUGAUGGUAUAUAUGUCAUUCAAGACCUUCUCUCGCCUAUGUUUACAGAUCACUAGUGGUAAUGGAUUUGGUUUAAUGAACAAUUUGACUUUUACAUGUAGAUUUAUAAAGUCCAGUGAGAAAAUUCCUUAUGAUCCAUGUGAGUUAGAGAGACAGCUAAACUAAACAUGAGGUCUAAGCUUUGAUCUCACCGUCAAACUGGAUUAUGGUUUAUGACUUUUGGAAAAGGAAAGUCGAAUGUGAAGUAAAUACAAGACCAUCUUAGAAAGAGAUACUUUGAUGCUUCUUCCAUAGCAAAGAAUUCACCAAGUGCUUAUCUAUGAUGAAUUGAUGAUCGUCUCUCGUGAUUGAAAAUCUUUCAUAUAUCAUAUCAGCCCAAAGUUAUUUGUGUUUUACUCCAAAUGGAUUGUUUAGUCGUCUUAUCAAAAUCAUUGAGAAACAAAUAUAUGUAAAAUUUAAAAUUUAAAGCCAUAAAUAUAGUAUGAAACAAUCUAAAAUAAAAACGCUUUUAAACUUGGUUUUUGCACAAAAAUCUUUUAAGAAAAUUAACAUUGGGCGAUUUGAGGAUAAUUAAUAUUUAGACAGGCCGUAAAAGUAGAUGAGUAAUCUAUCACAAAAACAGUUGUACUAAGCACAACAUAUGAAGCAUAAACAUAUUCCAAUGGAACUAUAUGAAGCAUAAACAUAAGCAUAAGCAUAAGCAUAAUCUUAUUUUUUAUUAUUUAACUAUGCAGAGUUUACAAAAUUUACUACUAUAUACAGUAUGAUGCAAACAUUUAUACCAAUGAAACUAAAACAGAUGCAAUUAUAUAUUUAUCAUUUUAUAUUUUUUGUAAAAAGGAAAAGAAGAAAGUUGGAUCCGCAAUCAUUCCUAAUUUGUGCAUAACACUGCUGCCAAAACAUGCGAAGUUCAAAUAAGCUCUAGAAAACAAAACAAAACAAAACAAAAGAAAUAAAAAAAGAAUGAGAAAAAGAAAAAGAGAAGUAUGAACUCAAAAGAACGGCCCCACCACCGCACCAUUCCAAAGGUUUAUUUCGAGUAGAGAGGAGGGAUGAUCCUAUUCCAUCUUCUCUCUUUAUAAAAACCCUUUUCGUCACCUCUUCUUUCCUCAUAAUAAUAAUAUCACAUCAUCCUACAUAGCCCUUUAUCUAAAGAACAAAAAACCCUUAUUUGCUCCCAAUUCCUUUCUUUUCAUCACAUACUAGCCAAAGCUCCAUGUACUACUAGUCACUCCCCCAAAGUUCUUGAUUUCAAACUUAUAGUUCCUUUCAAAAGUCUUCUUUGUAUACACACAUACGUUUGCUCUUUCUUCUUUCUGCGUGUGUGUGUGUGUGUUUUGUGUUGUAAAAGUGGAUCGGAGGUAUGGAAAGGGACCGGUUCCACCCCAAACAUCGGCGGCGGCGGCGGCUGAUGAUAAUCCGUCCUGGGACGAGACUGAUGUCACCGCCAUGGUCUCCGCUCUAAGCCGUGCCAUCGAGAACCCGACUGACCCGCCUGUCAAACAAGAGCUUGAUAAAUCAGAUCAACUUCAACAAGACCAAGGUGAUUAUCAAAAAAUUAUAUGCUUUCAUCAUACGUCUCUCUACUACUAGAAUUAAGUGCUUAAAACUUCUUCUUCUUUUUUUUUGUUUCCUAGCUGAUGUAUGUAACUUGGUUAUAAUAAGUUAACUAACUAAAGACUUACUAUUAAUAACCCUUUCCGUCGAUUCUCUUAGUUAAUAAUUAAAAAAAUUUUGAGGGGAAAAAAGGAAUUUGUAUAUAGAGGUUAGGUUCGAGUUGAAGUUGAAGUUGAAGUUCAAUGCAUCUCUAUCAUUUAAUUUACUUUCCGUAAAGAACCUUCCUUCUAAUUGUACCACCGAUCAGCAUACUACUACGUGUCUAUCCUUUUUUUUUUCAAUUUUUAAUACAUGUAGAUUUUUCUUUUCAAAGUACAAGUUAGAUAGUGUAUUUUAAUAAACUCAUGUCUUUACUCGUCAAACAUAUAUAUAACCUACAUAUGGCUUCUUACCUAACUAGCUAGAUAGAGUAAUUUUUGACCACGCAUGUUCUUUUUGAAAUUAGUUGUCUUUAGAUAGGCAUCAACUUUAUGGUUGUCUUUUUAUUUAUCAAUGUUUUGAAGUAUUUCAACAUGCAUGAUUAACUCGUUUUUUUCUUUGGAGUGCGUUAGAACUUAAUAGCCGAAUAUGUCAAACGACUCAGGCGCAAUGUCUUUAUCUAAAAUCAAGUCUUAGUUUAUUUUUUUAAUGAGUGAUAUAUAGUCCCAACAUCUAAUUUUGUUGAAUGCUAUGUUAGAUUUAUAUACGUCAUCCCUUUAAUUUGUACACACAAUAAAAAUCACCCGGAAAUAUAGUCUGGAUAUUGAUUCAAACUUUGAUUUUGGUUCAGUAAAAAUGUAUAGUAAUCCACUUGAAUUGCAGGAUUGAUCACCCUUAUUUUUGAUUCCAUCUAAAUCUUAUGAGUUGAAUAGUAUAUUGUAUUCUGUGGAAAGUUCCAUAAUAUCACAUAGUUGAUGAUCGUUUUAAGUGUUAUUGUAUUAUGCACCAUCUUUAGAUAAUUAAAUCAUUUCAUUUUUUUCUUUCUUUUAAAUCAUAAAUAUCAAACUAACAUAUUCUUGCUAGAUAUAAUUAAUCGUUAAAAUCACACGUAAUAUAAAUCUUCUCAUGCAUGUAGAAACUGUACAUGCAAUAUGUAAUUAUUUUUUUAAUUCUUAUCAUCGUUAUGUCAUGUUAUGCAAGAUCAACCAAGAAGGAGACACUAUAGAGGCGUAAGGCAGCGACCGUGGGGAAAAUGGGCUGCCGAAAUCCGCGAUCCAAAGAAAGCAGCCCGUGUCUGGCUCGGGACUUUCGAGACAGCCGAAGAAGCUGCUUUAGCCUACGAUCGAGCCGCCCUCAAAUUCAAAGGCACCAAGGCUAAACUAAACUUCCCUGAACGGGUCCAAGGUCCUACUACUACUACAACCAUUACUCCUGCCACAAGAGGAGGCAGUGAAUCAAUGAACUCACCUCCUCCUCAUCAGCCUGCUCCAUCUUCUACUACUCCUUCGUGGCCAAUGAACUAUAACCAAGACAUUCUUCAAUACGCUCAAUUGCUUACGAGUAACAAUGAAGUUGAUUUAUCGUACUACACGUCGAGUCUCUUUAGUCAGCCUUUCUCAACGCCUUCUUCAUCUUCUUCUUCCUCCCAACAAACGCAACAACAACAGCAACAGCAGCAGCAGCGGGAGGAAGAAGAGAGGAGCUAUGGUUACCAUUAUUAUAACUACCCGAGAGAAUAAUCUAAUUUUCUAUAUUAUCGGUCGAAUCAGUUUCAUAAAUCGCCACCAUUUUCGUUUCAUUUUUCUAUUUUCCCAACCUUUGUUGCACCGAAAAUAUAAAAAAUGAACGAGAGGCAUAUGUAACAUUUUGCUUAAUUUUGUUUCGUUAAUGUUGGUAAAAUUUGGAUUUGCUGAAGUUUAAUAUUUCUGAGAUCCUACAAUCCGCCGGCCGUAUAUAUAAGCUUAAGCUUGCGUCAAAUAUAGUUUGAUUUCGGAUAAGGGUUGUUUUUAAAACAUAUAUAUACGGAUGAUGAUAUCAGCUUAUUGUUCUAAGAUUUUAAAGAACAUAACCCCUCUUCUUGUGUUCACAAUAUCACAUUCAUUAGACACAUGAUUUUGACGAUCGUUUCUGAAAACACGACUAAAUGAGAUCAAUUUUUAACAAGUUUUGUGUAGCAUAUUUGCAAUCCAAUCUUCUACAACUGUACAUCAAAUAUAUAUAAGUUUUUAAAAAAGAAUAUUUCGUUCUUUGACAUUGGCUCUUGAGAGCUAGCCAACAUUUUGUUCUAUAGCAUUGGCUCUUGAGAGCUAAGCAACAUAUUGACUCUUGAGAGCUAAGCAACAUAUUGACUCUUGAGAGCUAACCAACCCAUGCACACUAUGUAGUUUGCAUAGAUACUAAGAUGUUUUUGUAUUUUCACGUGCAAUUUUUAAAAUAAAUUUUUUUUUUAAGAGCUGCAGGGACAUUGCAGUUUGAUCUGAAUCAGAUAUCUAAAAAUAUAGUUUCAUAUCUUAUAAUUCAAACUUGACUACUCCCUGGAAAUGUUACAUUAAUUCGAUUUCCGAAAAGUCAAACUGUGUGGUUAUAGUGAACUAUAAAUCUUCUUAAUUUGGAAGUUUUUUUUCUUUUUUUUUUGGGGAAAUAUUUCAUUGUAGUUGAAAUGUGCUGAAAGAAUCAGAGACGAUCACUACGAAUAUCGCAAUCAGACUAAUCAUAUAAAGAAGAAAAAAACGUGUUCAACCUAGAAAUUAUAUCGAAAUCCCAAAACCAAAAAAAAGAGAGACUUAUCUGUCCACAUAUUCAUUCAUUCAUGUGUCUUUUUUUUUAGAACGCAUUUUGUGUACAUGCAUGAAUUGUACUAUAUAUCGAAUUAUCGAUUAUAUAAAUAUGCGUGGUUUAUGUUUUUUUCUCUUGUUAUUAUUAUUAUUAUUUGAUACAUGUGACAAUGUGAGAGUAGGACAAGGCAAACUUUGGUCUUGAGAUUUAGAUCGAGCUUGCCCCACCAAAUAUUAAACACCUCUUUGUAUAUAUCUUUUCAUUAUUCUCUAUCUCGCCUUCUAUUGGCCUUCCUCGUGAUCGUCUCAGAAUAUUUUCUGCAUAUAUUCCAAAUUAUAUCUUAACAUUUUUUUAUUUUUUUCUUUUUAAAAAAUUUAAAACACUUUUCAUUUUGUCCAAUAUUAAAAAUACUUCUUACCAAAAAAUAUAUAUUAAAAUACAUACAUGUUCAUCUGAAACGUAUUUAGUUUUUUUUAAAAAAAAAAUAAAGUUGAAUACGCAUAUAUAAAAGUUAAAUAUUUGAGAAAUUGAAAUUAUGAAAUUAAAUUUUUCUCCGGGCUCUAUAUAGAAAAUAAAAUAUUAUGAACCUAAAUUUGUACUUUUUGGUUUAAGGAAAACAUAUAGAGAUCUAUGUAAUGGUUAUUUGCUCAACUUUGUUUCAGGGUUUGGUCAAUUCUAAAAAUAUGGGUGGGGUGAUAAUAUUUAUAUUGAUGCUAUAGAUGAGAUGAUUUAGUGGAAAGGAGAAGUAAAGAGGUUUCUACAGAGUAACGAAAGGCAUGCGCGCAAAAGGCAAAUGGGAAAUUUGGGUCGCGUCCCACUUUGGUUUUACGUCAAGUGUAUAUCGAGGGCCAUGCUCCAGAUCCCCAUGACCCAGUCUAAUCAUAUGCAUCUUUCAAUCCCAGUUUCGAUCUCUUCUAGCUACCAUUUCUUUUCUUUUUUUUUCUCUCUCUCUUUCUAACAAAAAACUUAAAUAAUAUUUUAAAGUUUAACACUACGCGACGAUGACACGUCUUUUUCACAGUGAUAUUUUUCUCAACUCGAUUCUCUAUAGUGUUCCCGAAACGAUCAUCUUUUAUUUAAUGAUUUUAGGUAAGUUAUUUUCAAGAAAAUCCUUGUUUUGAUAUUGACUUGGUUGGACGUACGGUAUUAUCUGACAAUGAGAGACUUUUUUUUUGGUUUUUAAUGAUGCUUUCGGCUUAGAAAAUGUCAAAUAUUGCGGCUAAGCUGCUUUCCGUUGAUUCCGUUGACAGUGGAACUCCCCCCAGAUCACAAUGAUGAUCCUCGCAUGCACCAUGAAGAUCGCACUUCUUAAUUACUAUAUAAGAGAAUAUGUGCACACUUAUGCAGAUUAGAUCAUUUCAAUCAGUAUAUAGUCAUGUACGUGCAUCACCUUUAUUUAUCUCAAAUAUUCAUUCAUCUCCUCUUGUGGGGUAUGUUAGUAACUAGCCUCGUAGCUAUCAAAAACAUAAGAAAACAAAUGAGUAUGAGAAAGACUUUGUAACUGUGGUCCCAAUUCCCAAAUUGCAGAUUUUUAAAAUUUUGUAGAUGACUUUUUGGACUUGAAUUGGCACAAUUUUAGAAAUUGUUUCCUCUAUAUAUCUGUCUUACAAAGUCGAAAGAAUUAUUUAAAUUUUAUAUAGGUUCUCUUUUGUCAAAUAUUUCUUUUAGUAUUAUGGUUAUACUUAAAAGAAAAAAAAUACAUAAUAUGACAAUUGACAAGAGUAAUAAGAAGCUCCAUGGAAGUCUCUCUAUCUACUUAAUUUACAUUUUUAAAAAGGCUUUUUGAUCAGAUCCAGCCCGGCCCAGCCAUCAAAAAUCUGUGCCAGCCAAAAGCCCGCCAAAGUUAUUAUAAAGCAUUGUAUUGUUGUCCUUCAUUCUUUAGAAACAAGGAUAUGUAGUUAGAAUACUAAUCCAACGGGAAUUGCAUUUUUUCUUCCAAUGAUAAACAUAAGUGAAACAACAAAGCUCAAAUGGAAGGGUCAGCUAAAUACUGUAGUACGAGUCAACUGUAUCUUUCUAUACUCUGAUACAUGUAUCAAAUGCUCCUUCAAACUUGACUCUCAUUAAUCAAGGUUUUCCUUAAUUAUAAACCCAUUCAAAAAUGCAACUUAGAUCGUGAUCUGUUUCCAUUUGAUAACUUUCUGGAAUUUCUGAUCUCUUCUUCUUCUUCUUCCAGCUUUUUUCUCCUUGCAGCCUCCUCCUUCUGUCUCUGCAACUGCUCCAAUUCUCUAUACCUUUCCUCUUCUUUACGUUGAAGCUCCAUUGCUUCUCUCCUCUGAGAUUCUUCAACCCUCCUACUAUUUUCUUCUAACAUCUUAUCCAGCUCCUCUCUCUCUCUCCGAGCUUGUUCCUUUAAUUAUUUCCCCAGUUUUUACUUUAGGCCUCUAUUCCAAAACCAUAAAACCAAACAAACAGAGCAACAACAUAAACAAACAGCUAGACUUACUUCUUUUUUUCUUGCCUCGUUUAGAGCAGCUUCUUUUUCUUUCUUCAGCUGUAUUUCCACAUCAAGAAACACCUUUUCAUAGGCUUCCUUUGUCCGCCUUUCUACUUCUUCUUUAACUUCUUUGCUUUUCAUCCUUUCCUCCACAUUUUUCCUCACUGCUUCCUCGAUCCGGCGUGCAGUCUCUUCUUCUAGCCGUUUUAGCUCAGCCUCAUGCUGCAAUCUUAGUUUACCAGGAAAAAUAAUAAUAGUCAGUUAAGAAUUAGACCAACUCUGUCAACACUAGCCAAGAGAAAGUUUUAAAGAUCAGAUCAUUUUCAAAUGCAUAAAUUGAUCAGUAAUUCUUCUUCUAACAGCUCAAAAACUAAUCAAUUUAGAUAAGGAGACAAAACUCUACUUCUGUUAACAUUUCUCACAGCCGACAUUUCAAAUUACGCCAAUAAACAUAAUAGAGCUAUACUUCGAGAAAUAGAUUACCUUCAAUUUGCUCACUAGCAAAAAAUUUCCUAGAGAUGUAUAUGCUCGUUCAUUUAAGGUUACAAUAUUCCACAUAGCCCAUAGAUAUGUCACUGUGAACAACAAACUUUACUCAAUACUUGCAUAUGCUAGUUUAAUGUGAAGGAACUUUUAUAUAUCUCCCAACCUGGAAAACGACUCCCACGGAAACAAAAUGCUAUAUUGCCUCAAACACAAAACUGGGAAAGCAUACUGCAAACUGAAAGACAGAAAAAACAUUAAACCAAUUACCUAGCCUUCUCCUCCUGUUCUUUCUUCACUUCAAUCGCAAUUUUAUGCUCGGAAGGCGAAGAUGAACUACUUCUAUUCCUUUGGCGUUGCCUCGGUGUAGGAGAUCUGCUCUUCUUGUGCCUACAAAAAUUUGGAGACCUACUGUUAUGAAGAUGUGUUAAACUAGAGCAGCUUCUUCUAAUCUACUACACUAAGCAGCUAAAUAACGAACUAUAAUGGAUAUCUUAAGUCAUUCGCAAAACAACAAAGAUCCAAAUUAUGACAUAAAUUGGUUAAAACCCUAAUCCUAAUUCCCAACAUCACCAUAAGUUUCGAGAUUCGCUUAUCCACAUCUAUCUCACAUAUCUAAGGUAAGAAAAGAUUUGUUGCAGACCUUGAUUGGUAGGGCGAGCGGCUGCGGUCGCGCCUGGUACGACGGCUGCUACGAUGAGUGACAGGCGAGCGAGAGUAUCGUCGGCGGUGAGACGGCGACCUAGAUCGCGAGUCGUUUCGAGCCAUUCUCACCCUCGCAGUGAUAUGAUUGGUCAAUGAGGUUUUCUCACCAAAUUGAUGAUUUGAUCGGUUCAAUGUGUUUUAUUAACCGAACAGACCCAAGUUGAACCGACUUUGUUUCCGGUUCAAUUCAAUCAUUUCUUUUUUUUUACAAAGAAUUCAAAUAAUUUUUUUUGGUAAUAAGAAUUCAAACAACAUGGUAACAUUGUAAUAAAUCAAAAAAAAAAAAAAAAACAUUGUAAUAAAUCCUUGUAAGAAUGGGAUAUCGUAAUCUUUCUAAAAAUGGAGUAUUUAUAGUAUUAUCUUUGCUUAUUUUGUUAAUUAAUCCUAUUUAUGGAAAAAGAACAAAUCUUACGGCAACGAACAUAUCGCCACACCACACUCUUUGACAGUUUGACUGCUUUCUCUAAUCUCUUCUCCAAAGCUCAUUCAACGACCUCGCUAGAACAAAGGUAAUUGCUCUUCACACUUUUGUAAACAAUUUCGUUAUGACUUAAAAAAAAAGGUUUUUGUUCUUUUUCUACUUGUUGCAGUUGCAGGCAAUCAAAGCAGCGAGCAAGCAUGUUGCCAAGGUUCGAUUUAACUGACCCUAAAGCUGCCCUGUCUCUUCUUGAGGAUGUGACCACCAACGUAAAUCAGAUUCAAGAUUCCGUCUUGGAGGCAAUACUUUCACGUAAUGCUCAAACCGAGUAUCUUGGAGGUUUCCUCAACGGUCAAGUCGAUAAGCAAAGCUUCAAGAAGAACGUACCUGUUGUGACCUACGAAGACUAUAGGUCUUAUAUCGAUCGUAUAACUAAUGGAGAGCCAUCUGAUAUCAUCUGUGAUCAACCCAUCAGUGUACUUUUGGCCCAGUGCCUUCAAAUUAAACGAUCCACCCUUUCUCUUUUCUUUUUUCUUUUUUUUGGCAUAUGUGAUAACUACAACAGUUUCAAAGUUGUGUAUAUGCAAGAUUCGGAGGGAUUUAGACAAAUUUAUUGAAGAGAGAGAGACUCGAAAGUAAUUUGGCUUAGUCUCUCACAUAGUUACAUACCGACCCACAUGCACAUGCAAAUUCAUGUAAAGAACAUAACCAAAAAAAACACUUAAGAGGAAAUUUGGUUUGAAACUUGUUGAUACUUGAGUUUGAUAAUCUUGAAUAGUAUACGUUAAAAGAAGUAUAGAAUAUAUAAAGAAAUAAGGAAGCUACUGGUUUUGCAGCUCGGGUACUUCAGCUGGAGUUCCAAAGUUUAUUCCUCUGACAGCAGAGGAACUGGAACAGAGGAUUUCGUUUGGAUCUCUGUAUAGAGCUCUACUCUACAAGUAAAGAGCCCUAAACUCCAACUUGUGCCUGUUUAAGUAAAACCAAAAAGUCCAUACCCCAUUGUUGUUACUUGUUUGCAGGCACAUCAAAGGGCUUAACCAAGGAAAAUGUCUCACAUUCUAUUUUGUGACCGGAGAAAUCAAAACUGUCUCUGGGCUAAUGGGCAUGUCUAUGAUAACUUGUAUUUUGAAAAGAGUGAACACAACCAACUCAUUUCUUUGGUGAAUCAAUAAAACCUUUGCUCUCACGUUACAAAAGUGUGAACAUGCCCCUUGUUGCUGCUACUACUGUUUCCUUAUUGUGUUUGUUAUCAUGCAGGGAUAAAUUACAGGUAAGCCCGCAUGAAAUUGCGACUUGCGUAGACACUACUCAGAGCAUGUACUGCCAAUUGCUUUGUGGGCUUCUACAGCGGGAUAAUGUAGCUCGCCUUGGUGCACCUUUUGCUUCUUCCUUCGUCAAAGUAAUCAAAUUCUUAGAAAACCACUGGCAUGAAUUAUGCUCAAACAUAAGUACGGGCAGUCUCAGUGACUGGAUCACAAACGCCCAAUGUGUUUCAGGGGUUGGUAAGAUCCUCACCGCUCCAAAUCCGGACCUAGCGAACCUGAUCGAACAAGAAUGCAGUAAAACAUCAUGGGAGGGAAUAGUGAUGAGACUAUGGCCAAAAGCAAAAUGCAUCGAAGGCAUCAUUACCGGCACCAUGGCACAGUACAUUCCAGUGAUGCAAUUCUAUGGUGGCAGUCUUCCCUUAAUCUCGUCGUGGUAUGGCGGCUCGGAGAGUUUCGUCGGUGUCAAUAUCAAUCCUCUGUGCAAGCCUAGUGAUGUGUCGUACACCAUCAUCCCAAGUAUGGGGUACUUCGAGUUCUUAGAGGUCGAGAAAGACCACCAAAAAACUUGUCAUGAUCCCGCAGAGAACCCUGUGGUCGUCGAUCUUGUAGACGUUAAAAUUGGCCAUGAUUAUGAACUUGUUGUCACAACGUUGUCUGGUAAGUCUUCUUCUUCUUCACUCUCUCCUUAAAACAAAAUGUAUUUAAGACUUUGCUGUAGAGUUCUUGCUUUUUUAAAAAUGAUAGAAGACAAAAUAGACAUUUUAACUGCGUUUCUUGAUCUAUCUCUCUCACAAGACCUCUAUAUGAUUUUUACAGGUCUUUAUAGGUAUCGUGUGGGGGAUGUUUUACGAGUGACUGGUUUCCACAAUAAUUCGCCACAUUUUCGUUUCGUGGGAAGACAUAAAGUUGUUCUGAGCAUCGGCAUGGACAAGACCUAUGAAGAAGACCUCCUCAAGGCGGUGACAAAGGCGAAGCUCCUACUAAAGCCAUACGACUUAAUGCUCAUGGAUUUUACUAGCCGUGUGGAUUGUUCCUCGUUUCCAGGUCACUACGUGCUCUACUGGGAACUCGGGAGCAAAAUCAAGGAUUCAAAGUUCGUGCUAGACCCGAAUAUGUUGGAGGAAUGCUGUUUGACCAUUGAAGAGUCUCUCGACACUGUGUACAGAAAAGAACGAAAAUAUGAUAAGAACAUUGGAGCACUUGAGAUUAAGGUUGUUAGGAGUGGCACUUUUGACGAGCUCAUGAAUUUCUCCGUGUCUCGAGGCUCUUCUCUGAGUCAGUACAAGACACCUCUAUCGGUGACGAAUGAAGAGUCCUUGAAGAAAUUGGAGGCGAACGUUGUUUCUGAGUCUUUUAGCCGCAAAACUCCAUCGUGGGAGCUACAUGAGAUGUACCCCGGCCGAUGAAACCGACGUUACAUUAUUUCGUAUACAUGGUUGGUUAUUAAUUACUAUUGUUUUCCUUUUUGAAAAGGAUACGUGUUUAUAAUUGCCGUUUUAUUAUAAAAUUGCAGAAUGGACAAAAAAAAAAAGUCACAAUCGAGGACAAAAAUGAAAAAUGUGAUGCAUCAAAUAUUUGUAUGUAUCACAACCCCCGUAAAGCUUAGGUCUUAUCUCCUCGUAGUUUGCAUUGUUGUCUCCUUCUAGAAAAAGAACAAAGCUGUUUUUAUCAAUAUCCUUAAUCCACGGCAAAUCAAACAUUUCGCUACAUCACACCCUUUGCUGUCUUCCAAAAAUUUCAAGCGUAGAGAGAGAGAGACGGAGGCCAGAGCUCAUCCAGCCCCCUCGCCAGAACAAAGUUAGUUUUUUUUCUUUCACUGUUUGUAAGCAAUUUAGAGUCAAGGUUUUUUGCUUUUUGUUGCAGACAGUCAUAUCAUGUUACCAAGGUUCGACCCAACAAACCCAGAAGCUUGCUUGUCUCUUCUUGAGGAUGUUACCACAAACGUAAAGCAAAUUCAAGACUCCGUCUUGGAAGCAAUACUUUCACGUAAUGCUCAUACAGAGUAUCUUAGAGGCUUCCUCAACGGUCAAGUCGAUAAGCAAAGCUUCAAGAAGAACCUGCCCGUUGUGACCUACGAAGAUAUUAAGCCUUAUAUAGAUCGUAUAGCUAAUGGAGAGCCGUCUGAUCUCAUCUGUGAUCGACCCAUCAGUGUACUCUUGACCAGGUACCUUCACAAGGAUCCCCUUUUUCUGAACCUUGGAAUCUCCUUUUGCAGAUUCAAAGCAAAAGUUUCUUCUGCUAUGUGAAUCUGUGAUAACUAAAACUAAUUCUCGAAGUUUUGUGUAUAGAAGUUUAAUGGAAGAUUUAAAGGAAUUUAUAUGCUUCCACAUUUAGAUAAAUUGUUGACUAAAAUUUCUAGAAGAGUCUUGAAAUCUAGGAGUCUUGGUUGAAAACUUGUUAAUACAUGAGUUUGUUACUGUCAAAAAUUUUACAAGUAUAGUUAACCUUGUAGAAUCCGUAAAGAGUUAAGUACACAAUUGUAUUUGCAGCUCCGGUACUUCAGGAGGAGUUCCAAAGUUGAUUCCUUUGACAACAGAGGAUUUGGUACAGAGGAUCUCGCUUGCAUCUCUCUAUAGACCUCUACUCUACAAGUAAAGGGUUCUAAACUCCAACUUGUGUCUGUUUUAUUCACACCAGAAAAAAAAAAGAGUUAGGUUUAACCCAAAACUCUUUUGUAUAUGCGGUUUGUAGGCACAUUGAGGGGGUUAAAGAAACAAAAUCCCUCUUGUUUUAUUUUGUGAGCCGAGAGAGCGAGACAGCCUCUGGGAUAUUGGUCAGGACUAUGAUAACUAGUGUUUUGAAAAGCGUGACGCCAGAAACCAAAUAUAUCUGGUAAAUCAAUAGAACCUUUGCUCCCAUAGUACAACAUUACACAAUUCACUCUUUCUGCUAGUGCGUGUGUUUUUUAUUAGCGCUUGACUAAUUUGCGGGGCUGAACAUGUCCCUUGGUGCUGAGACGGUUUCUUUAUUGUGUUUGACAUGUGACUUACAGGGAUCAAACACAGGUAAGCCCGCAUGCAAUUUCGACUUGUGCAGACACUACUCAGAGCAUGUACUGCCAGUUGCUUUGUGGGAUUCUACAACGAGAUAAUGUAGGUCGCCUCGGUGCACCCUUUGCUUCUACAUUCCUCAAAGUAAUAAAGUUCUUGGAAGAUCACUGGCCUGAGUUAUGCUCAAACAUUAGGACUGGCCGUCUCAGCGACUGGAUCACAGACGCUCAAUGUGUUUCAGGGAUCAGUAAGUUCCUCACCGCUCCAAAUCCCGAACUAGCUAGCCUGAUUGAGCAAGAGUGCAGCAAAACUUCAUGGGAAGGUAUAGUGAGGAGACUAUGGCCAAAAGCAAAAUGCAUUGAAGCCAUCGUUACCGGCUCCAUGGCACAGUACAUUCCAUUGCUGGAAUUUUAUAGCGGCGGUCUUACUGUCAUCUCAACGCUUUACGGAAGCUCUGAAUGUACCAUCGGUGCUAAUUUUAAUCCUCUGUGUAAGCCUAGUGAUGUGUCGUACACCAUCAUUCCAAGUAUGGGGUACUUCGAGUUCUUGGAGGUCGAGAAAGACCAUCAAGAAACUGGUCAUGAUCCCAUGGAGAAACAUGUGGUCGUCGAUCUUGUCGAUGUUAAAGUCGGCCAUGAUUAUGAACCUGUUCUCACAACGUUUUCUGGUAAGCCAUUUUCAUGUUUACUCUUUUUAUAUCAAAACCAAUGUCGUUAUAGAACUUGUUUCAAAAUCCUUGUUUUACAAAAUGAUUCAAGACCAAAAUAAACAUUUCAGUUUUUUUUUUUGUUCUCAGAAGAUCUGUUACAUUUUUUUUACAGGUCUGUACAGGUACCGUGUGGGGGACGUUUUAAGAGUGACUGGUUUCUACAACAAUGCGCCACAGUUUCAUUUCGUGGGAAGACAGAAAGUUGUUCUGAGCAUCGACAUGGACAAGACCAGUGAAGAAGACCUGCUUAAGGCAGUGACAAACGCGAAGCUCCUGCUCGAGCCACAUGACUUGAUGCUCAUGGAUUUCACUAGCCGUGUAGAGUCCUCCCCGUUUCCAGGACACUACGUACUCUACUGGGAACUCGGUAGCAAAGUCAAGGAUGCAAAGCUCGAGCCCAACCCGAAUGUUUUGGAGGAAUGCUGCUUCACCAUUGAGGAGUCUCUCGACCCUGUUUACAGAAAAGGACGAAAGAAUGAUAAGAACAUUGGACCACUUGAGAUUAAGGUUGUUAAGCCUGGCGCUUUUGACGAGCUCAUGAACUUUUUUGUGUCUCGAGGCUCUUCUCUGAGUCAGUACAAGACACCGAGGUCGGUGACGAAUGAAGAAGCCUUGAAGAUAUUGGAAGCGAACGUUGUGUCCAAGUUCCUUAGCCGGAAAACUCCAACGUGGGAGCUACAUGAGCUCUACUCCAGCCGCUAAAAGCCUAAAACCACCGUCACAUUAUCCGUGAGACUUCAUGGGCAGGGGAAAUAUUAUUUAAGAAUUUUAUCACUUCUAAAUACUUCCAAUUCUGCCAUUGUUAUAUUUCAAAACCAUAAUUAGGUCGAGGUCAAACUCAUUGGUAUAAAUAAAAUUAAGAUUACUUGCGCUGGGGUAUAUAUAUAUAUAUAUAUAUUUUUUAAAAAAUAAUACAAAACUUGUAUGGUACUAAUUGAACCCAACCCAUAAUAAUGCUUAACUUGCCUCCGCGCCCUUGUCGGAAACUCAUCCUAAAUUUUUGACACACGAUAUUUUUGCCAGAUCACACCCUUUAUCUGCAGGCGAGACAGAGAGAGAGAGAAAGAGGCCACAGCUCAUCCACUGCGCCAGAACAGAGGUUUGUUCUUUCACUCUUUCGUAACAAUCUCGUGAUCCACAAGAGACGAUAAGACUAUUGCUUUUAAUGCAGACAAUAAAAAAAGCAGCAAACAUGUUGCCAAAGUUCGAUCCAACAAACCCAAUAGCCACCAUGUCUCUUCUUGAGGAUGUGACGACCAACGCAAAGAAGAUUCAAGAUUCUGUGUUGGAAGCAAUACUUUCACAUAAUGCCCAGACAGAGUACCUUAGAGGUUUCCUCAACGGUCAACUCGAUAAGCAGAGCUUCAAAAAGAGCCUACCCGUUGUGACCUACGAAGAUAUUAAGCCUUAUAUUGAUCGUAUCGCUAGUGGAGAGCCGUCUGAUCUCAUUUGCGAUCGACCUAUCAAUCUGCUCUUGGCCACGUACAUUCAGAACAAUACUCUUAAUUCCUCUUUGUUUCAAAACUUUUUGAUACAUAAGUUUGUUAAUCUUCAAUAGUGUACAUUACACUGAAGUGUAUAAUAAAGUGAUUGGUUUUGCAGCACGGGUACUUCUGGAGGAGUUCCAAAGUUGAUUCCUUUGACAGCAGAGGACUUGGAACAGAGGAUAUUGUUUGGAUUUCUCUAUGCACCUCUAGUCUUCAAGUAAAGAGUUCAAAACUCCAAUCUCUUUUGUUGAUACAAAAAAAGAGUAAGCAAAAACCAGACCUGUUGUUGCUAUUGAAUGUAGGCACAUCGAGGGGCUUACCCAAGGCAAAUCUCUCAUGUUUUAUUUCGUGACCCGAGAAAGCGAGACUGCCUCUGGUUUGAUGGUCAGGUUUAUGAUAACUUGUGUUUUGAAAAGCGUGAACCCAACCAACUCUUUUCUUUGGUAAUCAAUAAACCUUUUGCUCCUACAUUACAUUACACAUUUCACUCUUUUUUUUCUGCUAGUGAUAUUUUUUUUUGUUGGGUUUCACAAAUUCCCAAGACUAAUCUCAGGGUGAACAUGUUCCUUCGAAAGUGUUUAUUUAUUUAUUUAAAUGUGUUUGUUAUACGAUUUACAGGGAUAGAGUACAGAUAAGCCCCCAUGCGAUUGCGACUUGUGAAGACACUAAUCAGGGGAUGUACUGCCAAUUGCUUUGUGGUCUUCUACAACGCCAAAAUGUAGCUCGCCUAGGUGCACCCUAUGCUUCUUCCUUCCUCAAAGUAAUCAAGUUUUUUGAAGAUCAUUGGCAUGAGUUAUGCUCAAACAUAAGGACUGGCCGUCUCAGUGACUGGAUCACUGACCCCCAAUGUGUUUCCGGGAUCAGUAAGUUCCUUACCGCUCCAAAUCCGGAACUAGCGACUGUGAUCGAGAAAGAAUGCAGCAAAACCUCAUGGGAGGCAAUACUGAGGAGAAUAUGGCCAAAAGCAAAAUGCAUAGAAGCUGUCGUUACCGGCACCAUGGCACAGUACAUUCCAUUGCUGGAAUUCUAUGGCGGCGGCCUUCCUUUGAUUUCAUCUUGGUAUGGCAGCUCAGAAUGUUUCAUCGGAAUCAAUCUCAAUCCUCUGUCUAAGCCUAGUGAUGUGGCGUACACCAUCAUUCCAAGCAUGGGGUACUUUGAGUUUAUAGAGGUCGUGAAAGACCGUCAAGAAGCUGGUCAUGUUCCCGCAGACCCUGUGGUCGUCGAUCUUGUCGAUGUUAAAAUUGGCCAUGAUUAUGAACUUCUUGUCACAACGUUUUCUGGUAAGUUUCUUUACUCUCCGUUUCAAAAUAAAACUAUAUCUAUAUGUUGUUUCUCUAACAAUAUAAAUGUAUGAUUUACAGGUCUGUAUAGGUAUCGUUUAGGGGAUGUUUUACGAGUGACUGGUUUCCACAACAAUUCGCCACAGUUUUAUUUUGUGGGAAGACAGAAAGUUGUUCUGAGCAUCGACGUAAGCAAGACCUACGAAGAAGACCUCCUCAAGGCAGUGUCAAACGCAAGUCUCUUGCUCGAGCCACAUGACCUGAUGCUCAUGGAUUUCACUAGCCGUGUGGAUCUCUCCUCUUUGCCAGGACACUACGUGCUCUACUGGGAACUCGGGAGCAAAUUCAAGAACGCCAAGCUCAAGCCGGACCGCAAUGUCAUGGAGGAAUGUUGCGUCACCGUUGAGGAGGCUCUCGACUCUGUGUACAGAAAAGGACGAAAGAAUGAUACAAUCAUUGGACCACUCGAGAUUAAGGUUGUUAAACCAGGCGCUUUCGAUGAGCUCAUGAAUUUGUUCUUGUCUCGAGGCUCUUCUGUGAGUCAGUACAAGACUCCGAGGUCAGUGACGAAUGAAGACGCUUUGAAAAUACUCGAGACCAAUGUUGUUUCCAAGUUUCUUAGCCGGAAAACUCCGUCGUGGGAGAUACAUGAGCUACAUUCCAGCCGAUAAAACCGCCGUUACAUAAUGUGUGAGAGAGACUUAGAAAAAAGGGAAAUGAUAAUUAAAGAAUAACAAAUCCCGUAACAUAUAUAACAGAUAGUAACGUUAACAUACAUAAUCUAUCUCCUAAUUUAUCAUACUAGUUAUAAAAUAUUAUAAGUCCGUUAUAUAAUCUUCUAUGAAUCGUUUUUAUGUUGGUCCACAAUGCUCAUAAAUUAGUGGUUUAGUCCACCAUUAUUGGUGGUCUAAAUGCUUAACACGACAAUUAGCAGUGACUCUUAACGGUGCCGUCGUGACUCCUGCGUGAUUCACUUCAUCACUUGUGUCGUCACUUCAAAUAAAACGACUGCGUUUUAACUUACUGUUCAGUAGAUUUUAGAGAGCCCCAGUAGUAAAAGAUCCAAUGGCUACGAUUCAUCUGGACACGUCACGGUUUCCGCGAAAUCAACACACAGAUCCUUUCUUCCAUCAGUAAACGGCGAGACUCGCCAUCAAUCUGUAUUCCAAAGUAAAUAUUCCGGCGACGAUGAUGCCACCGGAGCUACAGCCGCGGCUGUUCCGGCCGCAUAUAACCUCUGCCUCUGGUGAACCGACUGUGUCCUCUUCCUCUUACUCCCCUCACAUAAGCCCUGCCUCCACCAGAAACUUCAUCGAUCGAGCUACUCCUAGUUCGAGAUCCAACAACUCCCGAUUCUCUCCGUCUUCCUUCGCCUACAAUGGACGGAUCGCAAUUGCUCUUGUCCCAUGCGCCGCCUUCCUCCUCGACCUCGGCGGCGCUCCGGUUGUCGCUACCCUCACGAGUGGCCUCCUUAUCUCCUAUAUCGUUGAUUCUCUCAAUGUCAAAUUCGGAGGCUUCCUUGGUAUAUGGAUGUCACUGAUCGCUGCUCAGAUCUCAUUCUUCUUCUCCUCUUCUCUCCUUUCCUCCUUCAAUUCCGUACCUCUUGGCUUGCUCGCGGCUUUUCUCUGCUCUGAGACUACUUUCCUCAUCGGCUGCUGGACCUCGCUCCAAUUCAAAUGGCUUCAGCUAGAGAAUCCUUCCAUUGUCGUCGCUCUGGAACGUCUCUUGUUCGCCUGCGUCCCGUUCACUGCCUCUUCGUUUUUCGCAUGGGCUACCAUCUCUGCCGUUGGGAUGAACAACUCUUCUUACUAUUACCUCUUGUUCGCCUGCGUCUUCUAUUGGAUUUUCGCUAUUCCGAGGGUUUCUUCGUUCAAGACCAAGCAGGAAGUUAAGUACCAUGGAGGAGAGAUCCCUGAUGAUAGCUUUAUCCUUGGACAGCUCGAGAGCUGUUUCCUUUCACUGAAUUUGAUGUUUAUGCCGCUUCUCUUUCACGUGGCUUCACAUUACUCCGUGAUAUUCUCAUCAGCUGCUUCACUUUGUGAUUUGCUGCUUCUGUUCUUUAUCCCAUUCCUGUUCCAGCUCUAUGCUUCGACAAGAGGUGGUCUCUGGUGGGUUACCAAGGAUUCCCAUCAGCUGCAGAGCAUUCGGAUUGUGAAUGGGGCCAUUGCCAUGGUCAUUAUUGUGAUCUGUUUGGAGAUUAGAGUCGUUUUCCGGUCUUUUGGGAAGUAUAUUCAAGUGCCCCCUCCAUUGAACUACCUUCUGGUGACCACAACAAUGCUCGGAGGUGCUGCUGGCGCUGGUGCUUCUGUUCUUGGAAUGAUCUCGGGUGCUCUGAGCUCAGCCUUUUUCACAGCUUUGUCUGUGAUUGUGAGUUCUGCAGGAGCUAUCGUUGUAGGAUUUCCAGUUCUGGUAAGUAUUUCUCUUCCCUUGCACAGUAUGUCCUUGAGCUUUCCUGUAAUCAAAUUUUAAUUUCAAUUAGACAACUGGUAUCCCGUGAAAUUCGUCUCAUUAGGCUAGCUACCAGAGUCGUAUGUUAUUUACUAGCUGGUUUAGGAAUGGAAAAGUUGUGGUAUUUUCUUUUAUAUAUGACUCUGAAUGCCGUAGUUCCUAAAUUAGAUUGCAAAAAUGUUUACAAAACUAAUACUUUAGCAUGUGUUUAAAGUUUGUAAUGUCGCAUGGUCCAAUAAGUUUUGAUUCUAACGUAAUGUAUGAUAUAUAGACUAAGGCAUAUGUUGACAGUUUACUGUUUUUCCUUCUCUACGUGGGCUUCCUAUCAAUCCACACGCUAUUUAUUCGGUAAAGAAUGUUGACUUGUAUGUGGUCGCUGACAUCUGUCAUAGUAGUCUUGUAGAAUUUGCUCCUGCAAGUUGUUAUAGUUGCUUUACUCUUUACCGCUUUCAAGUAAAUCAUGUGUCCAUCUAUGAAGGUUUUCUAUAUGAAAGUUGACAUAUCGUAUUCCAUAAUUUGCCUCAUUUGUUAUCUCCUGUCAUUGAUUUAUGAUCCCUUUUUAGUAACAAUGGAAUUUCUGUUCUCUGUUUAUCUUGCAGUUUACCCCGCUUCCUGCAGUCGCUGGGCUUUAUUUUGCUCGAUUUUUUACAAAGAAAAGUGUGCCCUCUUACUUUGCAUUUGUUGCCCUUGGAAGCUUAAUGGUUAUAUGGUUCGUCAUGCAUAAUUACUGGGAUUUAAACAUAUGGUUAGCCGGCAUGUUCCUCAAAUCAUUCUGUAAGCUUAUAGUGGCUAACAUUAUCAUAGCCAUGGUGAUUCCUGGUCUUGUUCUUCUUCCAUCAAAGUUUCACUUCUUGACUGAAGCUGGUUUGGUGGCCCACGCAUUAUUGCUGUGUUACAUUGAGGACCGCUUUUUCAAUUACUCAAGCAUAUACUAUUAUGGAAUGGAAGACGAUGUGAUGUACCCCAGCUACAUGGUUAUCUUGACGACACUAAUAGGAUUGGCUGUCGUGAGAAGACUAUUUGCUGAUCACCGGGUUGGACAAAAGGCAGUCUGGAUACUGACCUGUCUGUACUCAGCAAAGUUGGCCAUGCUCUUCCUAUCAUCGAAAUCAAUUGUAUGGGUGUCUGCAGCUCUAUUGCUGGCUAUUUCCCCUCCCCUCCUGCUAUACAAGUAUGCACUGGGAAUUUAACUUUUAAGAGCAUUGGCUCAUCUUGAAUUUUAUAUUUGAUUUUAAGUUGUUCCAUUGGUGGAAUGUGCAGGGAGAAGUCAAAAUCUGCCUCUAAAAUGAAACCAUGGCAAGGUUAUGCUCAUGCUGUAGUGGUUGCUGUCUCUGUUUGGUUUUGCCGGGAAACAAUAUUUGAUGCUCUGCAGUGGUGGAAUGGAAGACCUCCUACUGAUGGUUUGCUUCUUGGUUUCUGCAUCGUUUUAAUUGGUCUAGCCUGUAUACCAAUUAUUGCCCUCCACUUUUCGCAUGUCUUGGUAUGUCUGUUAUACUAUAUGCAUAUGUUUUGUUUGAUGUAUUUCUGUCUGCUUAUUUCGGAAAAGAACCUAUUCUUAGGUGGGGACGUAAGCACAUCAACAUUUCUAUAGCAAGCCGUUCGUUUAACAUGUUAUGAGUUUGUUGGUUUCUAUCAGAGGUUACAUCAUAGAGCAUAAAAAGAAUGCUCUAUUUACCGGCUUGCUAAAGAAAUUGUUGUUUUAAAGGAGAAAAUUCUUUACCUGUAUUCUUGAAAGCAUUCAUUUCGUGUUUUAAAACCUCCAUUUUAACUCCAUGAAGAAAUUAGACGGUAUCUAAUUAUAGUCAUGAUGGAGAGUGUAUCAGUUUUAGUAAAUGCUGGAUUCUAAGGUCUUCGUGUAAAGAUUUCAGUUGUUGCUUUAUACUGACGAGGACAAUUUUAUUAUUAUAUUUUGCAGUCAGCUAAAAGAAGCUUGGUAUUAGUAGUGGCAACUGGAUGCAUGUUUAUUCUGAUGCAACCACCAAUGCCUAUGACAUGGAGUUACCAUUCGGAUAUGAUUAAGGCCGCUCGCCAGUCAGCUGAUGACAUCUCCAUCUAUGGAUUCAUGGCAUCCAAACCGACUUGGCCGUCGUGGUUGCUUAUUGUGUCACUUCUGUUGAUACUUGCUGCUGCCACAUCUCUUAUCCCAAUCAAAUACGUGGUAGAACUGAGAGCAUUUUAUUCCAUUGCCAUGGGUUUAGCUCUUGGUGUUUACAUAUCUGCAGAGUUCUUUCUACAAGCUGCUAUUUUACAUGCCCUGAUCGUUGUAACAAUGGUGUGUGCCUCAGUUUUUGUCAUCUUCACCCAUUUCCCAUCUGCCUCAAGCACAAAGCUGCUUCCCUGGGUGUUUGCUCUUCUCGUGGCUCUUUUUCCCGUGACAUAUUUGUUAGAAGGGCAAGUCAGAAUUAAAACCGAUCUUAGCGAUAAUGAUGCCUGGAAUUGGGAUACAAGGGAGGAGGAUAAGAAAGUCACAACCAUGUUGGCCAUUGAAGGUGCAAGAACAUCUCUUCUAGGCCUCUAUGCAGCGAUAUUUAUGCUUAUAGCUCUCCUGAUUAAAUUUGAGCUCUCUUCACUUUUGCGUGAGAAAUUCUCGGAGAGGAGUGGUCAGUCAAAAACCCAUGGUGGUGCAAGAGGGAUUUUCCCGACACGAAUGAGGUUGAUGCAGCAACAUCGAGCCACCUCGAUCCAAAGCUUUGCAGUAGAGAAGAUUUCAGAAGAGGGAGCAGCAUGGAUGCCUGCAGUUGGUAACGUUGCCACCAUCAUGUGCUUUGUCAUAUGCAUAAUCCUCAACCUCCACCUCUCUGGCGGCUCAAGCCAAGCGAUAUUCUUCCUGGCUCCAAUCUUACUUCUCCUGAACCAAGACUCUGAUCUCUUAUCUGGGUUUGGUGAUAAACAAAGAUACUUCCCAGUUACAGUAGCCAUAUCAACAUACUUGGCACUAUCCUCUCUCUACACUGUUUGGGAAGAAGUUUGGUUCGGUGGAAACACAGGCUGGGGAGUAGAAAUCGGAGGCCGGGAAUGGUUUUUUGCAGUGAAGAACCUGGCUCUGUUAAUACUCACAGCACCAGGUCACAUUAUAUUCAACAGGUAUGUGUGGAGUUACACCACCAAACACACAGACGCGUCGCCGAUGCUGACCGUACCACUUAGCUUUGCAGCCGUGGUAAUAACAGACGUGUUCCAAGUUCGGCUUCUUGGAGUUUUAGGCGUUAUUUACUCUGCGGCUCAGUAUGUGAUAUCUAGGCAGCAAUAUAUGAAAGGACUGAGGUAUAUUUAGACAGUCUUAGGAUUAGUAUGUUUGGACCCUUUUUUUGUAACAGAAUUUGUGAAACAAUGAUUACAUUUCCCCGUUUUGUUUCUCAGUGGAUGCGUUGAAAAUUGCUAAAAGAUACAUUUCCAGGACUUAUUUUAUGGUCUUCUUAACAAUCCCGUUAAGCGGAUUAAACAAUAACAAAAUAGGAUGACACAGUUACUACCGUCUUUCCAAAAAAGAAUGAUAAGCAGAACAGGACACAGAAAUGGGGUCUUUAAAGAAGUGCUCUGCUUUUGUCUUCUUCAGACUCAACAGCUCUGUAUUUGUACCUAUGAGCCGACCAAAGGAAAACACAGAAAUUCAAAAAGCUUAGAAGCGUGAGCAGCCAGUACAAACAGUCAAAUCUCCCAGUGUUGAUGUUCUGCGACAACCACGAUUUCCCAUCUGAGUCUCGAGUCGCGGCCUUGACGAUAUUGUUCAAAAUAGUGGCAGCAAAACACCCUAACCCGCCUGCUAAAGCAGCGUAAGCCGAACCAAUACUCUUCAUAGCAUCUGGAGCUUCUUCAUAAAGGAACUCCAAUAGGCCUACGAUGCAGAAAACCUCUGCGACUCCGAUGAGACAGUACUGGAUUAAUAACCAGUACGCGGUUAGAUCAGGCAUUUGGGUCAAAAAGUUGAACUCGAAACCAUGUUGUAUCGCGUAAUGUCUCCUGUAGUUCUCGAAUAGCCCAGCCCAAGCUACUGAUAUGAUAGAAACUGCUAGCCCUAUGCCCACCCUUUGAAGUUGGGAAGCACCGUGGGGAUUGCCAGUGAUCCUUCUGGUGAUAGGGACGAAUACAGAGUAAUAUAAAGAGAGAAUGAGGAAGAUGCUGAGGCCUGGGAAGACAGGCAUGCACGUCACUGGAAGCUUGAGGUGUUGAAUGUGUGUAUUUAGUGUGUAAGCUUGUUGCACUGAGAGUGUAAGAUACUCUGUGAGGACAAGACUCAACAUUACAGUGCAUGCAGGGAUUGGAAUCAAUCUGAUCAGAAUCUUCACUUCCUCCACUUGUGUUACUGUGCAUAGCUUCCAUGGAGAUGGUUCUAAUCCGUCUUCUUUUAACUGAAGUGCCGCCUUGUCUAACCAUCUGCAUAUGAAAUCCAUACAAACUGAUCAAUACAAGAUUCAGUUUUGUUUUGCUUACUAGUUACAAACUGAAAAUCUGACAAAUCAAACAGACGGCCAGUUAUAAGAUUAUUCCCUUUAGGUGUAGUGUAUACGCAAAGCAACAAGACUUACAUAAAAUCAUCGGAAUGAGGGAUUUUACGACUGCCAUUAAUAGCAGAUUUCAAGCCAGGGACCUCGUACAAACCGAUGAAUUCGCUGCUUGUAAAAGCUGCAUUUCGUUUGCGGAAAGAGGCAACUAAGACCUGAGCGACCCUUGUCAAGGGACUACCACCAGGCAACCUAUGGCGAUAAAGCGGAGUACCAGCAAAGAACAAAGCGUUAGAAAUCCCCAUAGCCAUGGCCAAAGUGCCAAAGGCCAUACCCCAACCAAGUUCCAUUUGAACAUACACCACCAAAGUGAAGGCAAUGAUUGCGCCUAAGGUGACCGAUAAAUAGAAGAAGUUGAAGAAACGGUCUAAAUGUGUCUUAUAGUCUUUACUCUUCUCAUCAAACUGGUCUGCACCAAAUGAGGAAACACAUGGCCUUAUACCAGCAGCACCAAAUCCAGUUAUGUAGAGAACUGUGUAGAGAUAAACCAUUUGCCAGGAUUUGGCUGCUUCACAAUUUCCUAAGAGCAAUGAUAACUCCCCACAGUUGCUCUGGUCUGGUACGAACAUCUUCAAACUUGCCCCCAAUGUUAUUCCUAUCAACCCCUUUUCACAGGAAAAAAAAAAACAAGAAUAUGAAAAAUGAAAAACAAAACAGAACAGCAAAAUUAGGAUUGAACAGUUGUUCUAGUACUUACGACAAGAUACAUGGUAGUGAAGAUGGCGAUGGUCCAGUAUCGGCCCAAGUAAGCAUCGGCUAAGAAGCCUCCGAAAACAGAGGAGGCUUGAGAGAUACCGAGGAAGUUGUUGACUGCGUUUGAUGAACUCUCAAAAGGCCUAUGCAUCACGUAGAACAUGAACGCCACCAUGUUCACUGAUAGUCCAAAAUAAGCCAUCCUCUCUGCCAUUUCGUUUCCUAAACAUUCAAACCGAAACUAUAAAUUAAAGCUGCAACUACAACUUAUCUGUACCAUCAUCUUGGAUGUAAGGAAACAAGAAAAAGAAAGUUACCGAAAAUGAAGAGAGCUGCAAUCCAACCACCAGUUUUAGAAAGAUUGGGGAUGGGUUUGCCAUGGAUGUUAACCGGAGUGGUUCCUCCGGUAUAGCCACGACCAAGAGCCAGACGUCUGUUAUCUGAUUCAAUGAAGAAGACACUCAACUGCUUCCUAUGAUGCACAGAGGAGCUAGAACAACCUCCAGGCGUACCGGGGUCGACACUCACCGGGGAUUUGAUCUCCGAAGCAACCAUAAAGUCGAUCUUUGCUUGCUCACAACAAAACCAUAGAAGAACUUGGAAAUCUUUAGCUAGAGUGACCAAAAACAGCAAGAGAGCUUAUAAAGACAAUAAUAAUAAUAAAAAGGGAAUUGUGUAUAAAUAAUUGAAUCAAGUAAAACAAAAGACGUAAGCAGAAAAUGAUGUUGGAGGAUUGGUUAGAGCAGUGUAUAAAUGCAGCAGCUUCUAAUGGGAAGUUGGAAUUAAAUAGACGGGGAAGCUAGCUGGUAAGUGGUAGAUGUAGGACUUAACAUUUAUUGCACGUGGAGUCCCCUUUGAUGUCCACAGUCUUUAAAACGUUGAGCACAGAGGAAUCAUCUUCUUGAUUCAUACUUACAAAAGCAUAUACAUAUCUAUAUAGAUCAUAAAAUGUUUUGAUUCAUUUUUAUAAUCAUCACUCGGUUUUCGUACUUGCAAGACAUAAUAACUCUCACUCACUCAAGGGGAUUUCUACAAUGCGUCACUCCAACUUGUUUUUUCUUUUCUUUUGCAGUCUCCAUUAAUGUUGACCCUGACAUUGAACUGAUGUUGAGAUAGUCAAACAACAGAAGCAAACACUGGUUUGUGUUCAUAUUUGAUAUCUCGAGAAAUUUUAUGUAGUGUAAUCAUAACUAAUCUAUGUUAGGGAUCAUAAUUAUCCUAUACAAGGUUAUACAAAUAGGGAAAAGCUACGUUUGCGAAAUUAAAAUGACCAAUGAGUACACUAUAUUAGUAUAUUCAAUUCAAUGAGUCUACCCCUAUAUACUUUCUUCAAUUUAAAGGAGGAUAUGCUGAUACAACGAAAACAUUGAAAAGUCACCUCAAGACUUAUUUGUAACUAAAAUCCAAUACCCAACUAUCUUUUCUGUUUGAAUCAAAAUCAAACUGAUCUUAUUGUACUAUCAUAUAUAGUAAAGAUGACUUUUAAUCAAAAAUUUUUAGUCCAUGAUUAAAACUUUGUUUACGGACUAUAUAAUUCAAUAGUAUAAGGACAAGCUAACUGUUGCAAGCUUUUUGGAAUCUCCUAAAAAAAACAUGUUUCCCACUUCAGUACAAAUCCUUAACACUGGCAUGCAACAAUUUUGUACUGAGCUCAAUUUACACAACUGUCCCGAUAAAGUGUACACAUCAUAAAUAUAUAUAUGUACGUGAGUGUAGUAGACUGUUGAUGUUUAUAUCAAUUCUGUACAAUUUUGAGGAGUUCAACAUCAAACAGAAGUGUCUUGUCUAUCAGCCCUUGGUUCCUCAGCACAAAAUCUAAUGCACGUUGUCCCUGCGCAACAUAAAAGUAAACAUUACUUUUUUCUUUUUGUCUUUCUUAUACAUAUAUAAGAAACAAACACAAUGGCUCACAGAGAAAGUCAUCGGCCUCGGUCCGCUCUUGUUGUAGUCAUUAUCCGGGUAUCCUAGUUCUGGCGGUACAAUUAUUCUGCAAUACCACACUAAAUUAUUACACCGAUUCAUUCUAACAUCAGACACUUGUGUGAGACUGACAACCCUUCUUCUACAAUUUAUGUUUAUGAUUUAUGAAUGAGACUCAAGAUCCAAGGAAGUAAAAGUUUCUUUGUACUCUAUGAAUUUUCCAAUGAAAAACAGGUAUGGACGAUAUGUAGACUGUAGAGUGAGGAAUAUUAGAAAGAUGUAGAACCUUCUGAUACCACCGAGCGCCAUGCCAGACACGGCCUCCUCGAAAGCAGGUAUCACCUGCAACACCAAAAUCAUGCAGCAUCCAAAAAUAAACAAUUCAUACCCUCAGCAAUAGAGUCCAUUCUUUAAACAGGUACAACCAGCAUAGUAACUAGAAGAACUACAAAUUGAACACACCUCAUUCGAUCCCAACGUAAAUUUGAAAAAUUCCUUAUCAUCCCCCUACAGAUUCACAAACAGAACACACAGAUUAAGAACUGAAUCAUUGUUGCCAAUGAAACAGACAAGAGCCCAAAACGAAGUCAUACCUCAAAAGAACCCCCUUUUGUUUUAUUGCGAGCUUCAAAUAUGCGGCCAUAGUAACCUAUUGUGUAACCAUCCCAGUCAACCUGACAUAGCCAGCUCAAUCUUUUUACAACUCCAAACAAAUUCUGGUCUUUGAAACAUUAUAAGCGAACUCAUAUUCACUUCACCAUGACAAGCAUAAAGAUAAACUGGAGCCCAAGGAUACAAACCAUAGAUAUGUAGAAAACUCCUUACCACAACUCUGUCUCCCUUCUUUGCUUUAGGCCCAGUUCCUACUCGCAAAUCCUGCAUCAUCUUAAAUCUCCAAGUUAAAAGAUCACACCACUUAGUCUAAACUACAGAAGAUACAAAAUUUGGAACUAAAUGAGGGAUGACCUUAUACUGAAGACCAGAUUGUGUCUCAGUGUAAUCUGGAUACUUCAUCUUUGUUUUGCCAUAAUCUUUUCCUUUAAGCGCUGGCACUGUGAGUGCAGACAUAAACACAAAAGAAUGUGGAUUCAGAAUAAAAAGAGAAAUCGUUGAAUUCAGCAAUCAUUAUGAAAAGAUUCAAAAAGCCGUCAAGCAACCAAUGAGAACAAAGUCACGGAUAAAUUCAUUUCAAGAAUUCACGAAAGCACACAUCUUUCUCUCACCACCAAACUCCUAAUAGUGUGAACAACGUCAGAGCAAUCAAACAGCAUUCUAAAUAACAAAUGCCAAUAUCUACAGGUAUUAUCCUCCAAAAGGCACAAAGUACCCUACUGAAUCAGAAUGUAACCAUGAGAAAGAUCCUGUGACCUCAAAAGAAGAGAAUUGAAGUUCUUACUGUCAGCGAAUUGGGAAGCUUCUGCAAAGUCUCCAUCUUUAGAAUCGUAUGCAAAGGCUCCAAUCAACAAACCAACAGAAGAAACCAACAAUUUUCUGCGAUCAAACUCCCCAGAAUUAUGAGAACACCCACAAUUCCCACCUGUUUUUGAAACACAAAAUUAUACUUCAAAUUCACUACAGAGGAGGCAAUUCAAAAUUAAUGAAAGAGAAAGAGGAAAGCAAAGAUUGCAGAAACGAACUGGGAGAGCGAAGAGGAGAGAAGUCAUCUGGUUGGUCGGCUAACCGAGCAGCAACAGUCGUCCGGCACCUCUGAGAAUCAAAAUGACAAAUUUCAGUGAGUAGGAAGAAGGAAGAAAACGAAAACGAAGGAAGAAGGAAGAAGGAAGAAGAAGAGAGAGAUGGUGCGGCGUCGUACGGUGGUGGAGGAAUUGCCGGUGAGAGCUGUUGACUGAGGGAAGCACCCAAAGGAUGAAAUCGACGCCAUUGCAGUGAAAAAUGAAAACCUGAAUUUUGGUACGUUUCGAGAGGGAGGGAUGAGAGAUAAAUGACUCAGCUUUUUCUCGAUUAGAAGAGACUUCUAGUGCUCUUAUAUUAAAGUGCACAAUCUGAUGUAAUAUUACAUGUAAUCCAAAUUCCAUUCAAAAAUGAAUUAUAACAGAACUUUGGUUUAUAUAUGAUAAAGCUGGGAACAAUAUAUGACAUGACUGGAUUAGAUGAGAACAUUAUCUUAACUGAAAUGAAGAAGAAGACAAAGACAGUGCCAAUUGUUUUUAGUGAAAAUGUAACUUACAAAUACCGUAAAAAAAACUAAUUAACAUCCUUUGAAGCAUCCUCAUGCAAGAACAAAGAAGACAGAAGAAGAGCUCACACAAUGUGGAAACAUCAAGCAAAAGCCUUUAUAUAACAACAUUUGACAGCGUAAAGGGUUGAAGAACAAAAGCCAAAGGUUCUUCUUUUAUUUUAUUACCCACCAAAACCCAAAAUGAUGACUCAGGGCUGUUUUUCUUUCCCUCAAUGGCUGGCUAGUUUGAGAGUGUUGGCCUUCUCUUGCAGAGUACCGAGCAGACUCUCGAAACUCUUCUUGAACGAAUCUACUCCUUCAUCUUCCAACUGAUCUCCUACUUUGUUCCAGUCUAUUCCCAGCUUCUCUAGUGCACUGUAAAUCCCUUCUGCUUCUGAUACAUUCGCAUCUAUUGUCCUCUUCACGAUUCCAUGAUCUGCGAAUGCUUCCAGGGCUUGAUCCGGCAUGGUUGACACCUAUAUUCACACCCCAAACACACCAAAACGCUUGGUUACAUAAUCCAAAGCUUAUCAAUAUACUUCCACUACAGCCUUUUGAUCUUCAACAUAGACUUACUAUUGGGCAGUGAAACAUGAGAUACUCAAUAAACAAACCAAAAAAUGACUUACGGUGUCAGGUCCGAUGAGAGGAGCAACAUAUAAGGUGUCGGAAUAAGCUGGGUUCUUAACACUUGUCGAUGCCCAGAGAAGCCUCUGCUUCUUGGCACCUUUCUUAACUAAAGCUUCCCAUCUUGGGCCUGAAAAUUUCUUCUGGUACAGCUUGUAUGCUAAUGCAGCUUGAGCCACAGCCGCCUGCAAGAGUAAACAUAUAUGUAUCAUAAACUCAUACUCGAUAUUCACAGGCUGGUGUAUGAUUCUCAGCGAUGAAUAGAGCGUUACCUUGCCACGGAGAUCUAGGGCUUCUGGCGUACCAAUUUGCUCAAGCAUCUUGUCCAUGAGAGUAUCCACCCGACUGACAAAGAAGGAAGCAACACUGGUAACUCUCGAGAGGUCAUCAAGUCCAGACGCCUCGAGGCCAUCCAAAUAUGCAUCGAUCACUGCUUCAUAUCUGGCGAUUGAGAAUAUAAGCUGAAACAGAAGAGAACAAAUGAGAAAAUAUAUGGAGAAAGCAACAUCAGUGCAUCUACCAAAUCAAAUUCAUUCAACACCCUUGAACUAAUCUAGUUUCAGGUUUAAACCCGCCCAAUAAAAACAUGAAUAAUGAUACAUUCAAGGAUAACAUACCGUGACAUUGACACUUAUUCCCGAUGCAAUGACAUCCCUGAUGGAAGGAAUACAUGGAGCAGUAGCAGGAAUUUUAAUGUAGACGUUACGACGGUCCACAACCUUUUGAAGAUAUUUAGCAGCUUCAACAGUCCCUUGGGUAUCAUCAGCAAGCCUAGGUGAAACUUCAACAGAGACAUAGCCAUCCGCACCAUCUGUCUGAUCAUAGAUUGACUCAAAAAGUUUGCACGCAUCCUGAAUAUCCUUCACAACAAGUUCCCAAUACGCGCUUUCGAUGUCCUUUCCGGAUUCCACAAGUGUCCUAAUAGAGUAUCAUCCAAAAAUCAAGAUAGAACAAAACAUCUGUUAAAGACACCAUGAACAGAUCAUCCAACUUUAUUAGAAUGAACUACAGGUCAAGACAAUCACAAAAUAUGCAGCCCUAUACUAACCUGAACUGAUCAUUAUAAGCAUUUGAAGUGGAAAUGGCUUUCUGGAAGAUCUGCAAAGGUUUGAACAAUAAAGGAGUAAAGACAAAUGCAAAACCACGGAGUUAAAAGCAAAGCCAAACACACACGAGAGAUUAAAUAAAAAUUACAGCAGGGUUGCUAGUAACGCCUCUAACACCACGAGCAAUCAACGGGAGAAGAUCUGUGACUGGACGGCACAGAUUAUCAUACCAAGGACUCUGACCUUCCUUCUCGUAUAGAUCGUGAAGGGUCGUUCUUUUUCCAGCAGUUCCAUUUCCACCAGAGACUGAACACUUCACACUGAAAUCAACACCAAAGGAAACAGAACGAAAUCAGAUUUCCACCAACCAAAAAAGAGGAACUUUAAGUAUAUUAGCCUACACCAUGAGAUUCGAGAUACGUUCCCAGCUAAAAAGGGAUCAUUUUUGGUGAAACCCAAGAGCUAGAGCAAAAAACACAAGCAGUAGACUUACAAGAGGGAAGGUCUGGAUUGUUGAUUAUAACGAAGGGAAAGGUGAGAAGAUGAAAGCUUUGCGUUCAAAGUGCGGAAACUGAUGGAGGAUCUGGGCAAGACAGAAGCUGAAUAUGAAGAAGAGGAAGAUUUGGAGUCGACACAAGAGGCACGGGUGAGAUUAGCGAGGUUCGAAAUGGUUGCCAUUUUUUUUGUUUGGGUCGGGGGAAAUAUGAAAGAGCUUUUCUUGGUUUGAUCGAUCAGAAUAUAAAAACAAAGAAGGGGAAAAAGAAUGGGGUUGGUGAGAGUAUUUUUGAGUUAGGUCGGGAACGCAAAAGACGAACUAAGGCAUUCAUACGACUAUCUCAUGAUGGCGAUAUAUAUAAUGCUACUAGUUGACCAUUUUCUGUCAUUUUUCCAUAUACUUUUGUUUCUAUACAGUUUAAUCCAAAUACUGUAUGUAGUAUAUCCCUAACACAAUAAAUAGUUAUAUACUAGAUUGCAAAUCUGACCUGUUUGUCGAAAAAUAUAACAUUGUAAUGUGGUAAUAAAAAUAUUAGAUCAUUGUGAUUUCAACACCACAUUAAUCAGAGUUUGAAAUUAGAUAACAGCUGGACUGAUGUAUAAUGAAUAAAAUAAUAAGUGUUGAGAGCGGUUGCCUUAUGAUAAACACGAGAGGUUGCUUAGACAAGACCCCUGGCUUGUAAUUAGCAACCAGCAAGUAUGUAAUGGCCGUUGUUAGGUCGCAAGGGUCGGAAAAAGUCACUUCCGUAUCUCUAAAGGAAAACAAUCUUUAUUUGGGUGACACAUCUUCAACGUCCACAAUGGUUUACCCAAAUCAAAGUUUGGUCUUUGUGUGUGCAGCCAGGGUAGCUGACUACUAGGGUAGGGCUGGGGUUGCUGCUACGGCUGGUACUGGUAGGAUCCUAAUUGUUAAAAAGGUCAAACAAUUUUUCUUAGCCAUCUUUAAGAAAGAAAAAAAGAGAAAAAAGAUUAAUCUGAAUAAAAAUAAUUUAUUUUAUCCUAUGUAUAUGCUUUUGUGUUCAUAACCAAAUAUAGAAAAAAUCUAGCUAUGUACCUUUUUCAUGACUGACAAUUUAUUCACGGGAUUUGCCUUACGAAUACAGUUUGUAGAUAAGCUCAUACCUGUAGACUUUUUUUUUUGGUUUUAAUGUUAAGAUCAUAACUGUAGACUUUAUCAGCAGUUUUGGGCUAUGUAUGCAUAGCUUUGCUAUAACAUUUUUAGUGAGAACAUUGAGAUUUAACUGGUAUUCAAAUGUAAAUACAAAUCUUAAAAUUGGUGAUGAAGCCUAGAAUCUUGAGGUACCAAAGGAGUCUCUAUCAUACAUCGGACAAUAAACACAGACUACGAACAUAGUCUUUCAGGAGCAAUAGAUAAUCAAAGCUUGGGUAUACGUUCAACAAAUAUCACAUGUUUGUAUUAUUCAGGAAAAACAAGACAAGUCUUGCCCUCAAAAUGCCGGAUUCCGGAAUAUAAAAACCAAAAAAAAAAACAGAUGAAGUUCAUUGAGACUCAGACACUGACUGACGUGAUUUAUUUAAUCAACCAAUGAGUAACUUAUUCUCUUCCAGGAAGCUAUAGGUUGGUACUUCCAAGUUGUAUGGUGCAGGACCUUUCCGAAUUCUUCCAGAGAUAUCGUAAUGCGAACCAUGACACGGACAAAACCAACCUCCAUAAUCACCAGCAUUAGGCAAGGGGAUGCACCCUAAAUGAGUGCAAACUCCAACCACGACUAACCAUUCUGGGUUCUUGACCCUAACAGAGUCUUCUUGCGGGUCCCUUAGGGAUCCAAUAUCCACGCUAUUGGCCAGCUUGAUGUCAUCUUCUGUUCUUCGCCUGAUGAAGACGGGCUUUCCACGCCACUUAACUGUAACUGUAGUUCCUGGCUCGAUGCUACCAAGGUCAACCUCGAGGGAUGCAAGGGCCAGGACAUCUUUACUUGCAGACAUGCUCACAACAAGCUUCAGAACAAGAAGGCGGAUAACAGAGGCAUAAACAAACCUCCCACCCGACAAGACAAAAUAGGCGAAUGCACGCUUGCUAGGAUCACCAGGUGGGUAACGCUCAUGGUUAUGGUCAUCAUACACAAUCUUUGAGUUAGGUGUUUUGACAGCUUCCACGGUGGCUGGGACUUCCGAACCAAACCCUAUCUCAUUUCCUUGAGCAAGGACUUGGGAAGAGAAACCUGCAAAUAGAAUGUAUUAAGCUCACUACCACUGGAAAUUAGUGUGAAACACAAUUACAUAAACACAGAAUCCAUGAGGUAUGAGAUGCAGGAGUAUGAGAAAUUCAUCCAAGAAAAUAAUACUCAUCAACCCAAAACUCAAGAAAACAAAUUCAAUUAUCAAAAUCUUAGAUAUCAGGCAGCCAGUGUUAACCAAACUAAGGAUUACAUCCACCAAGGAUUUACAAGCAGGAAGCUUUCUUCAUCAUACAAAGGAUUAUCUAAGAACUUGUCAAUUCAUAUUUUCGAUUAAUAAACUCAAAUAUCUAUUUCCUUCAGGAUGAAAGAAGUGAUCACAGAAGGAGCUUGCAAACACUAAAAGCAUAAUGGAGAAGCACAACAGACUCAUUCAAACAAUUCUACCAUGAUAUCAAAUUCAGUUGAAAACACAAGAAAACUCCAAAGCUAAGAUUGCAAAUAGCUCUUUCGCUUAACAAAACAUAAUUACAAGGGUGCAAGUUCCUCCACAUACCUUUACAGACAUAGUAUACAGUUAACACAUCAACGUCCCUAAUAAUGAAGAAUACAAUGACACACAAAAUAAAAAAUAUAAGAAAUGAAGAUGCCAAAGUGAAUCACACUAACGCAUACCAAGGUACAAACAUGAAGACAAUUGGGAAGCUUUUCACGGCAAACAAAGGAGAAUCUCGGAACUGGGCAAUUUAUAUCCGAUCAAUCUAACUAAAAUGAUCAUUUCCAUCUGGACAAAGAUGUAAUCAUUAAAGGCAUAACCAUUCCAGUAAGGAGAAAUGGUAAAUCAAGCUAUUACACACCGUCUAGUUCACGAAAUUCAAAUGAGAUAUCACGUUUGUUCGCACGGAUCAUCGCCCAGAUAAAAUAAUAGUAAUCUCAUACAAGCUAAAAGAAAUGAUUUUUAUUUUCUAAUGUUGAAUCAUUCGAUCAAUGAAUCUGUAAACAGCAUCAGAAAUGAAAAUCAAUCAAUCUACGAGAAAGUGUUGUAGAUUAGCAGACCUCUUAUAAGGCUCCGUUGGUAAGAACUGAAAGAUGAGAGAUCUGCAGAAGAGACGGAUCUGGGCGCUGACGCGGAGUCGCCUCCAUCGGAAAGGGUGUGGUCACGGGAGACGACGAAGGAGGUCGCAGUCGAAGAUCUCUGCGAAACAGAUAAAAGCCUCCUCCCUGCAACUCGCAGCAUCUCUGCUCAAUGGGUAAUGGCCGAAUCUAGGGUUUCGCUCAGAGCAAGAAGAACACAAUCCUCAGGUUAGGAACGGCCGAUGCUAACAGAAGAAUAGUCCCUUUAAAAUUGUCUUCGAGAAAAGGUCAAUUUGUUUUUCUGUUUUUUUUUUUGCUUCCUAAUUACCUUUUAAUUUAUAUUUAUAGAUAUUAAAACAUACUUACAUGAUUUUAAUGGAAUUUUGUUUGUUUUACCAUAUAGUUUAGUUCAAAAUAAUAUAAUAAUGGGCACAGGGAUAAUAUGUGACAUAAAUAUAUAAAUUUCAGUAUAAUAAUAAAAGUAGAUAAAAGACAAAAUAAUAAUUUUUGAAAAACAGACUAAUCCUUUUUUUUUUGGUUGGAAACUAUACUACGUAAUUGCUAUUCUGCAAAUCUGUAGUAUGUUGCGACGAUGAAGUUGAUUUGAAUAUUUUUAAGAGAGCCGUGUCUACAGUGACCCACUCACCAGGUUCUUCGCGUUCUCUCAAACGAGAGGUCAAGGUAAGUAGGACAUUCUUUAACGUGCAGUCUGUAGUCAUACUCAUAGGUCACACCACUCACCAGCGACAAUAUAAACAGCCUCGAACAAAAGGAGGACAUCAUUAUCGCUCAUAGAAGUUGUAAACUUGUAAUCAUGGAUAACCAACUAAACGGGCAAAUGAGGCUAAGAUACAAUCAGAAUUCAGAAGAAUGAUGCCAUUCAUCAAAGAAGUUGAGAUAUUUGUUGGAUUAGGAGCCUUCUCACUCUGGAAAUGGGAGAAAGUUUACGGCUUACUUUGAAGUUUCUUCGAAAUGUCAUCUCCAUGAAAGAUUGAAAACGUUCACAAACACCUUCAACCAUAACAAGUGUCUGCGGCUAGAAACUUAAGGUAUGAAAGGAAACUCUCUUACAUACGAUAUAAAUACUGCUAGAUAAGAAAAAUAGGCAUGAUACUAUUCAAAAAUUCUUUUCAAAUAAUAGACAGAGACUAUGAACAAUGUCUUUCACCAGAUGGGACAGAUAGAGAUACUAAGUCAUACAAAUGACAAGUUUGUAUUAUUCAGCAAAACAAGACAAUCUUGCUGAGAGACCAGUAGUGUGAGGAAAGCGAACUUGCACGCUAAAAUGCCGGGAAAAUAUCAAAACAAAAACAUAUUAAGAUCAUUCAGAC
rnacentral:lncRNA from 1 species